CUCAUAAGAAAAUCAAGGAAGAACAAAUCUAUAUGAUUGUAUGCCUUCUGAAAAUUUUCCUUAAAGAUCAAUCCCGAGAAGACGCUUCUCUUCCUAGAGUCUAACUUCAUUAGCUAUAAGUGAGUAGUUAAAGAUUUGAUACACUUUAAUAAAAUCGAAUUGAUUUUUACCAAAAAUCUCUUCCAUGUGCCUGGAUAAUCUAGCAUCCAUAACCUUUGCUACUAUUUUAUAGAUAACCCCUUGAAAACUGUUAUUUUCUUCUUCAAUAUCCAUUAUUUAAAUAUAGCUCAAAGCACAAUUUUUGAUCAAGGAUUUCCUUUGAUACUGUAAAGCCCAAAUUUAGCCCGGGCCCAAUAUGGCCCCAAAGCCUAAAUAAAAUAAACCCACUCCUUUUACAAACCUAACCUACACCUAACAGCCCAACUAAAAACCUAAAGCCUAAACGGCCCAACCCUUAAAAUGUUUCAGAAACCCUAAACUCUCCUAAACCCGAGUGCUGUCGCCCUAGCCUGUCCCUAGCCUCUGCCGUCGCCUGUCACCACCACCUAUGCCUAUCACCGGCCAUCCUCGCGUUUGACACCUGCAAAACGAAGCCACACGCAACAGCAGAAAAGCCAAAUAGUAAAGAGACAAAAAAUAGAAACAAACGGUCUUGUAAUUCGGUUAUAAAAAAGCCACAGCAUCUCUUUGUAAUUUUUUACACACAUUAUUAAAUCGGAAAGCAGAAACUGAAAUUUUAAGGUUGAGAUUCACUGUUUUCUUUUCGUAUUUUGUUUACCUUUAUUUAUUUUUUUGUGACUCAUUUUAAAAUAAUCAGCAAGGAAAAUAGAAGUGAAAAACGCACUUGAAUAGGCUCUUUGACCCGCCGUCGAUGGUCCGUUGCCGUCGGCGGAUUCAGGCUCAGGGGAGGGCAAAAAACCUUUUCUUUCCUUCGGCUCUCCGUCCCGAAGUUCUAGCCGUUGAACGCGCUUCAUAGCGCUGGUCAGAAACGACUUCGCGCAGCGCCAACCACUGGAUACGGAGGCGCUAUGGCGGCGGCACGGUCCACUGAUCGAAGAGGGUGAGGGGAGAUGAGAGAAAAGAGGAGUUUAAGUUUUCUUUUUUUUUUGACAGAAAUGAGGGUUUUUGUAAAAAAAAAAUUGUGAUUUUAUAGUGUAAUAAAACAACGCCGUUUCAACAGGCCUCCCCAGGCGCCAGAACGGCAUCGUUUUAGGGAGGCCGACCCGCGACCUGACCAGCUUGGGGGGAGAUCCGCGUGUUUUCUGAAAGUGGGAAAAUAUCCAUUUCAGUCCUUCCGCCUUUUCUGUUUUAUUAUUUUGGUUCCAUUUUGUUUUUUUUUCUUCUUUUAAAUUUGCCCCACGAUUUUAUUUGUGUGUCAUUGUGGCCCUCCGAUAAAAUGUUGCGCAAGGUGCCUGGAACAUUUGCUCUUUCGCUCCCUGAUAUUUUCAGUACGUUGCGAAUUAGUCCUUUAUGCCUUUUUGCAAUUUCUGAUUAUGCCCCUUUAAUUUCAUUUUGAUUUCAAUCACGCCCUUGACCUUUUAUCCCCAAUUUUUUUAUAUAUAUUUUUUCUCUAAAUUGUAUUAGUAUUUUUUUUGUUGUCGUUAUUUAGGAUUUUCUUUUAUGUAUUAUUUACUUUUAAGCUGUUUUAGAUUUAUUAUUAUUUAUUUCAAGUUUUUAUAUAUGUUAUUCAUUUCGAAUAUAUGUAUACCAUUUUAAAUUUAUAUGUACUAUGUAAUUUAAAUUGUUUAUUUCAAAACUGUUUUAUUUUUUGUUUAUUUUAAGUUUCUAUACAUUAAGUACUUGAUAUAUUAUUUUAUUUUUUGUUUAUUUUUGUUUAUUUCUUAUGUUAAAAUAUAUUAUAUAUGCUAAUUAUUUUAAAAUUGUUUUGUACCUUUUUCAACUCUACUAUUUUUUAAAAAUGUUUUAUUUAUUAUCCAUUUUAAGAUUUUUUUAUAUAUAUUCCUUAUUUUACGCUUUUAUAUGUACAUAUGCAUUAUUUAUUUUAAAAUUUUUCAUAUAUAAUAUUUUUAAAUUGUUUUGUAUAUAGUUGAUUUUAAAUUUCGUUUUUACAUUAUUUAUUUAAAACUCAUUUAUUAUCAUUUUAAAUUUGUUCUACAUUUUAUUUAUUUUAAUUUGCUCUAUACUACUCAUCUUGACAUUGUUAUAUAUGUUAUUUAAUUUAUUCGUUUUUGAUUAUUAAUGCUAGUCUUUAAGUAAUGUAUGUUGUGUGCUUAUUGUCAUUAUGUGUACUAUGAAUUGUUUAUUCGUAUUUUAAUAUUAUUGUCAUUCAUCAACGUAACCAUUUAUUCAUACAUCAAAUUUAACAUUACAUCAAUUUUUACCUAAAUUCGUAAAAAAAAAAAGUAAAAUUUUAGAAAUAAAGGCAAUACUCGAUACUUGGGAUCUUCGAGAGGAUUGAGUCCUAACGUGUUGGGUUCCAAUUUUCUUCGUUGAACCUAAAUAAUCGAGAAUGCUCUUUAAUCAAAAAACAUAAAUAAAAAGCUCAUUAUCGGGAAUUCAAUAUGUUGUGUCCUAACGCAUUGGAUACACGUUUUCUCGAGACAAUGAUUUUUCAAAAAAUAAUAAAGGCAAUAUUCCGUAUUUGGAAAUUCGAGAGAUCGUGCCCUAACUUACUGGCUUUCGAUUUUUCUCGCGUUAAACCUAAAUAGUCGAAUAUCCUUUUAAAAUUGAAAUAAAUGAGGUUUAAAUAAAAAAUAAAAGGCAAGCUUACUCUCAAAAAUACGAGGUGUCGUGUCCUAACUUACUGAAUGUGACAUUUUGUUACUUCGAGAUAAGGAGACAUUUUCCAUUUUGAUUUAUUCAAGUAAUUUUAAAAUGACACAAUAUAAAGAGGGAUCGUAUUUUUAAAUUCUUUUCGAGUUUUUAAUUUUCGACACCAAGAUAUUAAGUAAUCAACUAGGUACCAAUUUUGGGCGUUACGAGGGUCCUAAUUCUUUCUCGUACGUAACUGACUCCCGAACCCGUUUUCUAAAUUUCGUAGACCAAAAUCGUUGUUUUGAUAAAAUCAAAUCGUUUAUUAAAAACAAUCAUUUUCUAAGGUGACCCGAUCACACCUCAUCAAAAAGGAUUGGUGGCGACUCCCAUUUUUGUUUUCAUUUUCAAAAUCCAAGUCGACCCCGUUUUUCCCAAAAAAUGGUGUCAACAGAUACUAUCAAUUUUUUUUUGUGGAAUUGAGGGCUUUUUGAAGACCAUGUCAUGAGCAUGUAACCCCUCUUAAAUCAUCCCUACCAUUAAAAGUCAAAGUAUUAUAAAGUAAAUAUAUUUUGAGCAUUUAUGAAUUGUUUUGCUUUUAUGUAUUAUUUCACACCUAUUUUUCUUCAUUCACAAGCUUCAUAUGUUACUUUAUUGAAUGAGUUAAAAUUUUCUAAAUGGAGUGAAAAAGUCAAGUUCCAUUUAGGUGUUUUAGAUUUUGACUUGAAACUACUAAAAGAUAAACCUGCUUCUAUUAUUGACUCAAGCUACGAGGAAGAGAUGUUGUAUGUUAAACAAUGAGAAUGAUCAAAUAGAUUGAGCAUUAUCUUUUUACUAUUGACUAUGCUAACAACAUUAAUACUACAAUUCUACAAAUUGAAAGCAUGAAUCCUUUUUAGUGCAGUUCAUAUUGAACUUCCUACCUUCAAAUUAUGAAUUACUUCAAAUUAACUAUAACACCGUUAAAAAUAAGUGAGAUGUUAAUGAAAUUGGCUAGUAAGCUCGUUCAGGAGGAAGUAAGAUUAAAGAGUCAAGGAAGUAAUUCCAUUAAUCUUGUGGGUCAAAGAGUUGAAAAAGGACUUAAGGCAAAGCCAACAAAUUCAAGAAGAAGAAAAACACGCUUGUCAAUGUCUCUAAUGGUGAUAAAAAGGAAUGGAUGAUAGAUAAGUGUCACUUUUGUAAGAAAGUAGGACCUUAUAAAAAUGAUUGCUAAAAUCAUAAAACUUGAUUUGAAAAUAAAGGUAAUUUUUAUACUUCUGUAUAUUUCGAAUCAAACUUAAUUAAAGUUCCUAAUAAUACUUGGGGAUUUGAUUUUGGUAGUACUACUCUUGUAUCCAACAUGAUGCAAGGAUUCAUUUUGGCCCAAACCACAAACAUAACUAAAGAUUUCCUAUAUAUGGGGAACCGUAUGAAGGCUGCGAUAGAAGACAUAGGGAUUUAUCAUUUAGACAUAUUUCAAACUCUUUAUAUACCUUCAGUUUUUAGGAACCUUAUAUCUAUUUCACAUCAUCAUCAAAGAGUAAAGGAUUAAGAAAUUGAUAAGUUAAAGAUGGACCAAUCCUUUUCGAUAUUGUUCUAGGUUCUUGAAACCUUUUUGGUGAUUUAUAUAAAUUGAAACUUGAUAAUGUUUUUGCAGUAUUCUUACUCAUUGAUCAUUCCAAUGUUGGAAUUAAGCGUAGUAUGUUAAAUGAAAAUUUUGCUUACUUAUGGCAUAAACGAUCGGGUCAUGUAUCCAAAGAAAGGCUAGAAAGAUCAGUAAAGAAUGAAAUUCUACUAAAUGCAAAUUUUAUCGACCUUAGUGUAUGUGUGUAUUACAUUAAAAGAAAGCGAAUAGAACAUAUUAAGAAAGAUGCCACAAGAAAUAUUCAACUUCUAGAGAUAAUACACACUAAUAUAUGUGGGCCUUUUGAUGUUCCAUAUAAUAAUAGAAAAAUUAUUUUAUCACCUUUAUUGAUGAUUUUUCAUGAACAUAAAUUUAUGUGUAUGUUUUUAUGAAAAAAAAAGAGACAAAAAGCUUAAAAGCUUCAUGAACACAAUUUAUUGUGCAUACUUGUAUGGAAUUUUCACCGUAUAUGUUUAGUAUGAAAUGAUUUUGUUGUGGACAAUCUUAUUGUUUAUAUAUGGGAUGAUUUCCUUGUUUACUUUGAAUUUGUUGAAUGAUGAAUUUUUAUUUGUGAAGUUUAUUGAUAAGUAAUUUGUAUAAUUGAUGAAUAUUUUAUAUUUGAAAUUUAUUUAAUCUAUUUUUUUAAUACUUGUAUAUAUUUUCAUAUACAUGUAUUAAUAAAUCCAAAAUGAUACAUUGAAACAGACUGGUAUUGGUACAUGCCAGUUUCAGUAGAAACAUGAUGUACCCAUUGCUUUAAAUCUUCGAUUCUAAGCAUAAAUCUAAAAAAAAAACAAUCUUUUUAUUCUUUUCCUGGGUGUUGUUUCAUAAACAAAAAGACUAAGUGCUAAAAUUUAAGUGUUAAAAAAUUAAGAAUUGAAUUUAAAUUAUCAAAUUUAUAUAAUAUGCUAAUUAAAUUAAUUGCUGAAUAUAAUUAGAUUGUUGAAUAUAUAUCAAUUUUAUACUACGAUUUACUUUAUUUUACAUUUUCAUCCUUAUUAUUUAAAACAUUUUACAUUAUUUCAUAGAAUUAAAGAAUAUUAGAAUUACUAUAACCGAAUCGGGGGUUGUUGUUAUGGUCAUAAAUAUUAGAAUUAAAAAAUAAAAUUUAAUAUAUAUUGGGGUUAAAUAGAUUAACAUGAUGAUAAUUUGAUUGUUAUUGUAUAAAAAAUAUGAUAAUUUAUUUUGAUUUAUGUGAAGUAAUAAUUUUAGUUCUUGUGAGACACUUAUUUAAUACGGAUUCAAACCUAUUAAUAUUAUAAUUUAAUAGUCUUUCUCACAUUUAAUUUAAUGGUAGUUGUUUGUAUAUGCACCCUUUGCUUGUUCACAAAUCACUUACACAAUUAUUAUUAUAUAAUCAUUUUAUUAUAUAAUACAUACAUAAAUUAUUAUAUUUAUUUAAUAUAAAAAUAAAGUGAUUUUUUUUUUAAAUGUGUACAUCUGAAUCACAAUCAAAGUUUAUGUCUAGUUUUGUGAUUUAUCCCUUAAUAUGAUAUACAUAUAUCUAAACCAUACUUAAAACUCUUGACCGAGUUAGUGAUUGUGUUGGUUUCACGAGUCAACUAAAUAUCAAAUUUGAUAUUUUAGAAAUUAUUCAUCCAUGUAAGGCUACUUUAAAAAAUACAAGGAAAAUGUAUAUUAAAUUGAAUUUUAAGCAUGAAAAUAACUAAUGAUGUACAUUGAUAAGACACCUAAUCCACAUACAUUUAUUUUUUAUUUUAAUUAAUUUUGAAUAUGAAUUUUACUUAAUUUGGUAUUUAUUCGUUCAUUUUCUAUGUAGAUAUAAUUAUUAUUUAACGUGUUUGAAAACGAGUGAAUAUGUGAAUUACACAAAAUAUUUGACACAAGAAUUCAAUUUGAUUAGGACUAUUUUACUAUUAUUUCUAUUAAAACUUUUUAUAAGUUAUUAUUAUUAUUUUAAAUAGUUAUUAUUAUUUUAGAGGUAUUUAUGGACUGGGCCGAGCUCAACUAUACAUUUAGGCUCGUUUGGUAGGACCAGGUCUAGCCCGAAAAAUGGGCCUAAAAUUUUGCCCAAUUCUAACCCGGAUAAAAAUGUUAAAACCCGGGUCCGUCCCGUAUUAAUUUUUUAUAUAAUUUUUAAAUAUAUAUAAUAAAUCAAAAAUACUAAAAACAUCAAAAUAAAUGUUUCCCAACAAAUUUUAAAAAAUAUGUAUACUUAAAUAACACUAACAUAUAUGUAACUUAACAAGCAAAUGCCUUUAAAAUAAUAACAAAAUUAACAAUAAAAUAAGUUUUAUACAAUAUCCAAACGAUAACAAUAAAAUAGUAGCAACAUAAUAUUAAAAUAGUAACAAAAUAAGAAGAAAACAACAAGAAAAUAAAAAAUAAUUUUUUGUCCUUUAGUAAAUUUGAGUCGAGUUAAGCCUGGGCAAAAAAUAUAUUACCUUCGGCCUGACCUAUUUUUUAAACAGACCUUAAUUUUUGCCCUAACCUACUUUUCAGACCUAUAUUUUUACUAUAGCGGCCAAAUCCCUUUUAGUUUUAAUUUAUAUAUAAAAAUUAGGUUUGAGAGGAGGGGGCGGCGCACAACCAACCCCUUUACCCUUUUAGGUUUUAUAUAGUCAGAUAAAAUUAGGGGAGGCGUACAGCCACCCAAAAAAAUACCCAUUGUUACGUUUAUUUUUAUUUUCUUUGAAUAAAAUUUCUUUUUUACAUAUUUCCUUUUUAUUGUUCUUCAAUUUUAUGAAGUCAUUUGAUGUUGUUCUAGGUCGGUUUUUUAUCCAGUUUUCGGAAUUGUGGGACUCAAACUGUAUGUAAAAUUUUUUAUUUUGGUAUUUGUUAUUUUUUUGAUUAAGAGGAUAAAUAUUACCCUCUCAAAAAGUCAUAUUGACAUCAAGUAUAAAAAGAUUGUUGAUUUGAUGUUGUACGACUUACAGUUGGAAGAACUGUUACGAUUAUUUGUCGUAUUCGAUCUAUCAAGGAACACAUCAAUGUGUCCAAUUAAGUGGUUGGUUAAAUAACACUCGGAUUUAAACAAUUCACGUGGUUGAGACUGUUAGUUCGAGUUGUGCCCUUCUAGUUCACAAGACCAUCAAAGAGCUAAAUUGUGAACGCUUGUUUCGUGGAUGUUCGUUCUGUAAGGAUUAAUUGUUGGUGUUUCUACAAUUAAUUUAUAUAUGGAAGGGUUGGUAGUUUGAAACAUCUUUAAUCGAUCACUAUAACCGAUUUACCGGUUGAAGGAGAAGACUUGCUAUUAAGGGUUCAAAAUCGGAACCAAAAUCGAUCCUGAAUCUAGAAUAUUGUCACAUCGGUUUAUUUGAUUUUAGUUUAUUUUACUACAAUUUGAUUUCUAUUUAUUUCUAUUAUAUUUAAUUGGAUUUAAUCUCUUUUUAUUUUUCCAAAGAGUUUCGCCUGUCACCCAAUUUUAAAUGGGGUUAAUCCUACUCCUAAUACUGCUAUUUAUUUAUAAUUUUAAAUGGAAUCGAUCUUAUUCCUAAUAGUAUAUAUUUAUUUACUGUUUAAGCGUAGGAAUAUUAUUUUUAAGGAAUUCGAUUGAGAUUAAAAUCUCUUAAAAAUAUAUAUAUAUAUAUAAAUUUUUUGAAAAAAAAUCCGAUGAAAUAUUUGUGUUGGAAACACAAUAAAAUAAUAAGACAUCGUUGAAGGAUAUAACAUUUCAAUUGCUUGAUCAGAAAAAUAAAUAACCAUAAAAGGAUACUUGAGCUGUAUUUGACACCAAAGAUCAUUACAAUUCACAAGACAUUUACAAGUACAUAAACCAAACAAGAAAGACUUAGAAGAACACACAAUUCACAAAUUAUUUGCAAGGAAUCCAUAUAUGGACUUCAAUAACCAAACAAGAAAGCCAACACUUGUAAACUGUAAUGUGAAGUGUUCUGCAACCAACCAAGGUAGGAGUUCUGGGGGCAACGGAUCAUGAAGUUCCUUCAUCUUCCCGUUGUAUAAAAGAAUAAUUAAAACUCUGCCAUGUUAUACAUUCCAGAUGAACAAUGUAGUCACACCCAUUCUUUAAGCACUCAAGAGAUAGAUCUAGGCAAGGUUGAUGACAGACAUGACAUGCAGAGAUCUUCUUGGUGAAAGUCAGUCGGUGUGGAUGGCUCCUCAUUCUAUAGGAACCCCCGAGCUUCAUAUAUGAAUGCCUUUUCACAACACAUUCACGAUGAGCUGAAGUGUUACAAAUUGCACAAUGGUAAAACCAAUGGUUUGGAUUUCUAGUUUCUUCACAAAUGUCACAGUAAGUGUAUUCUGAAUAAAGAUUAUCCUCAUGAUAGGUGAGUAUGAGAGGAUGUUCAUCAUACUCGUGUAGAAUCUUGCUGGGAAGCCUAAGGCACCUAUUAUGCACAGCAAAUUUGCAGUCUUUGCAUACAUAUGCUGCAUGUAACUGAUCUCCACAUCCAUUGCAUUGCCCUUCAUAUUUGUCAUAACGGUAAAGGCGGUGUUUGUGCCCUUGAAAUGUGGGAGUAUCAGAAAUUAGAGCACAUGCAAGGCAUCUAUAACUCUUACAAAUAUUGCAUUUGUAGGCAAAACUAGCAUUGAACCAAUAGAAGCAUCGUGGACACCUGAAAAUGUGAUUUGAAGUCAAGGUAAGGGGACUUUGGUGACGGUGAAACCAAAGUUUUUUCUUUUUAGGUGCUUCUGCACAUGAUUUAUGGAGAAAGAAUUCACAUUGUGAACAACAGUAAAAUAAAGUUGAGAUGGAUAGCAUGCAACCAUCACAAACCUUAUGACCCUCAGAAUCAUUGCUUAGAACCAAGUUAUGCUGAUGGUUCAAAUGCUUUAUCUCUGAAGCUAUUACAAUGUCUUCUCCAAGUUUAGACACUUUGAUAACAGCAAACGCCGACUUCUCCUUAAGAUCCUCAUCCAUGUCUUCCAACUCAUAGAAUGAGAACCAACUAUAUUCUUGUGCACAAUCCGCAUGAACAACGUAAUUGCAAUCAGAACAACAAUAAACCCCAUGCUGUGCGUUUACCUUUUCAGGGCAAGCUUCACAUAUCAAUGUUUUCAUCUCAUAUUGCCCAAGGAUGAAGGUGUGGGAAAGCGGAUGACGAUGUCGUGGAAAUUUGAUAAUGGGUGGUAAUGAAAUGCAAUUUCCAUGGAUUGUAAGACUGCAUUUAUAACAAGUAUAAGAAGCACAAUUCCCCGUUGUACCACAUGCAUCACAAAUGAAUGGGAGUUGCUUCCAGAACAGGGUGAAUGGGUGCUCAUGGAUUUCACCUUUAAUAAUAGGUGGUGGGGAUGCACAAUCAACAUGAAGCUUAAACUUGCAUAUGGAACAACAAUAAACAAGCCCUUCAUCUUGGGUAUUUUGACAGAUUUGGCAAGGAAGGGAUUCUGGAUCGAAUUUUAGAAAGAGAGGAUGGUUACGGUGGCAAAGGUGGUUAAUUUUAGUUGGUAGCUCAGCACAUGUUAUAUGAAGGGCAACCUCACAAGGCGAACAACGAUAAACAAAUCCCUUGAGUUGGGUUUUUUUACACAUUUGACAAGGGAGAGGCUUACUAUUGAACUGUAAAAUUAGAGAGUGCUGGCUAUGGAGAAAAUGGUUGAUUUCAGUAGGUAAAUCAACACAUUUCUUGUGUAGGAAAAUUCCAUGGCCAAGAUCAAGGUAUGCAAAAUCUAGCAAUCGCUGCCAACAUGCAAAACACUUGGCACCCUUCAAUUCUUCCGAAAAAUUUUCAAUAGAGACCAGUGCCUCUUUAUGGGGAAUAUCGUCAAGCUUUCCAAAGCCUUUUUCAGCAAUGCUUUUAGAAAGCAAGGCACAUUUGAUAUGAAGGUUAAGGUCACAAGAACAAUGAUAAACAAACUUGUCAAGUCCUUUGUCACAAAAAUCACAAAUAUUUCUGAAUGGUGGACUGACUUGAAGUUUAAGGCUGUGGUUGCAAUGAAAGGGGUGAUUUAUCUCCGAAGGAGCCUCAGCGCACAACUUGUCUAGGUAAUAUCUGCACUCUACACAGCCGAAGCUUGAGCCUGAAACCAGCUCCCCACAUCCCGAGCAAUAAGCCUUCUCACUUUCAUGGUUCUGCUUUUCAAUGAACACAAGUGGAUGUUUAUGGCUGAAGUGUUGAAGCUCCAUAUCUCUCUUUCCCUCUCGUUUCGACGAAAGUUUUGUGGGUUAAUUAGAAGCAAGGUAUGUGGGAUUUCGAAGUCCCCUGAUUCAAAAUUUAUACAUUGGUUGAGAAGGAUAUCAUUCUGUUUUUUCUAUGGAAAAGACAUAUUUAUAUACUUUACUUCUUUUAAAAGGAAAAACAGAAUCAAACAUAUGAAAUUAUACAUACAAAUCAGGGGUAGAAUAGCAAAAGACUUGUGCUUUAAACGUCCCCUUCCACUUGAAAGCAAAAUUAUAUAUACAUAUGUAAUUUCUUUAGGACUUCCAAGCUUUUAUUAAAUAUAGGAGGCUACAUGUCACUUUAUGACAUUAGAGGGUUAAAUUUUAAACAAUUCAUAAAAUCAUAAUUUAAUCUUUUUAAGUUUACAAUAAAAAAAUUUAUAUUUUAUCUCUCAUACAAAAUUAAUUUCAUUCCAACCUCUUUAAAAAUAAUUAUUUUGAAAAAGAUAACUUCAACCAAAUUCAAAGCAUCAAUGGCUUUGGGCAUUUUACCUGAGAGAUGAUCUUGAAGAGAUACACAAUAGUUAGAUUCUUGAAGUAAACAAAUUACUUGGAAUUGGAACUCCUCCACAAAUCCAAAUGCUCUAAAAUCAAAAGAUUAUUAAAAUUUGUUGGGAUUUCACCUAUCAAAUUGGUUUUCAUCAUCCAUAAAUACACCAAUUUCUUCGAGAAAUCAGAUUCUAGAAGUAUUUUCUUGGCAGAAAAGCCAUUAUAAGCCAUACCUAGAAGAUUGGAUUAAAUUAUAUAUAUAAUUUUUAUGUCUUUUUAUAAUAAAUUUUAUAUAAAAUUAUAAUUUUUUUUGAAUUUGGACUAAAUUGACAAAAUGUGUAAACAUUGAGGGUUAAAUUUAUUAAAUUUUUCUAAAAUCAGGACCAACUUGAUAGAAUGUGUACCAAUCAAAAGACUGCAAACAUCAACAUUUCGUUCAAUGACCAAGGCAUUUUAAUGGUAGAGUGACUAAAAAUGACAAGUGACUAAAUUAACAAAAAAAAAAUCGGUGACCAAAAUAGGAAUGCAUUAAAACUUGGGUGACUAUCUGAGUAGUUUAUCCUUUAAAUAUUUUAGAAUUAUUAUUAAGAAAAAUUUUAAAAGUAUCAAAUUGAUAUUUUAGGGGCUAAAUUGGUUAUUAACUUUUUAAAUUAACAUGCCACGUCAUAAUGGAUGAGUGACAAAAGUGCAACAUUUCAAUAACUUCAGUGGCAAUUAUGUAACAUUUGAAAAUUAAGUGGCUAAAAUAAAAUUUUAAACAAAAUUUAGGGACGACUGGUGUAAUUUAUCUAAUAUAUAAUUUUUAAAAAUUAUAAAAAAAAUAUUGUUUAAUUGAUACAAAAUUUCAAUCUCAUCAUUUUAUGGUUCAUAUUUAAGAUUUAUGAUUGUUUUUGUUGAAUAAAAUCAUAUUGGAAUGUAGUAUAGGUUGGUAAAAGAUAUAAAGAAAUAUAUGCCCAUAUUCCUUACUUUCUCUUCUAUAGAUUAAGAAAGUAUGUAUUCUUAGUCCUUUAAAGCAAAUAAAACCAUAUUCUUUUCUUGCAUCUUACCUUUUAAAAUUAUGAAAUUAGGAGCUUUUCUUUGAUGCACAUAUUUUAAUUGCUAAAUCUACUAAAUAUUACCUUUUAAGAGUAAUUAAUUAUAUUAACCAAUAGAUUUAAUAACAUCCAUUGAAAAAUAAAUCAAGUAUUCACCUACCACUUAACUUUGGUUAUAUUUAUUGCUUACGGAAAAAUGACAACUUGUGGCUGUAGUUUAGUGGUAAGAAUUCCACGUUGUGGCCGUGGAGACCUGGGCUCGAAUCCCAGCAGCCACAAAUCUUUUUAUAUUUUUUCCAUUUUAAUUCAAACCAAAUCCUAACUUUAAACGCGGCGGUAACAGUUGGCCCAUUGUUGAAGUCAGCGGUUAGUAAUAGUGUGAUUUUAGGGAUUUGAAUUUGGUAAUUAAAUCUAAUUUUGUCCAUGAAUUUAGAUUUUGUUAUAAUAUUAUAUAUAUUAUAUUUAGGUAAUAAUUUUAUACAAUUUUAGAAUGUUAGGUUAUCACAUUUUUAUAAAAAAAAAAAAUCUAAGUUUAAGUAUCAUAAUGAACAUAAUUUUGAAUCAGAAAUUUAAACAUAGUAGAGUAACUAUAACCAUAAUUUGACUUAAAACAUUUUAAAUCAACAAAAUCAUUUCUCAUUUAAUUUUGAAAAAAAACUUAAUAAUUUUAAUUACAAGAAAUAAUAGGUAGCAAAGUAUUUAGAGGCGUAGUCCAAACUUGAAAAGAAGCAUUUUGCUAAACAAUGAAUCGCUUUAUUAGUUUCCCUCUUAACCCAUGCAUCCAGGAAAGAACCUCCUUGAAAACAUAUAUCUCUACAAGGCUUGGUGUCAACAAGAUACCCCUAUGACUAGAGACAAGAGUUAACAACCUUACCACUCCAAUCACGGAUCACAGUAGCAUAUGUCGUAGCCUUUCACCUUAAAGCACGCAACAUCAACAUUACACUUGUACCAUCCUAGUUUCGAUUUCCUCCAGUAAGAGAUUGUCGAGUAUGGACUAGACUCUUGAAUUUGUACAGUGUUAUAAACUCUUUUAGCUUUCUUCCAGGUCUGCAAGACUAUAGUUCAGUAUUGUGCUGUCCAACAGAAAAGGUUACGAUGAUACCACAAACUCCACAACAUUGAAAAGAUCCUCCCAUGCCUGUUAGUAUCUAUUUAUUCCAAAAUAGCAGGGAUAAUCUCACUACUCGAUUUAAGCGAGAAGAUAAAGCUUGUUGAUUGCCAUGUCUCUUACGCCUUAAGGCAAGACAGUAAAACAUGGUCUAGAGUUUUCGGACUCCCACAUUGAGUGCACGCAAUCAAGAUAUGGAUGCCUUUCUCUUCCCUCCGAACCUUCUUAAGAAUAAAAUUUCGUAAACAACUCCAAAUAAGAUCUCUAACUUUAGGAGGCAUUUGGCAUAACCACAUUCUUUGCCAAGGACCUUGAGUAAACUAACAAGAUAAAUUAUAAAACCUAUCAAGAGCUAGUGUAUAUCCCAAUUUAAUGCUACACAAUACGUUGUUACUGAAAUGCCAUACAAGUUGGUCCAAUCCUUGCUGAACGCUUAUAGGAACACUAUAGACUACUCGCAUUAACUGGAGCCAAUAUGCCAUCAAUAAAAUUAGUAUCCCACGAGCUUCCUUCCACAUUCUUGAGGUCCUUGACCUUUAAUUGUUCUAAUCCCUCCAAAGGAGUAAAAGAGACAAAAAAAAAAAAAAAGUCCUCAUUAUCAUGAAGCCGAUGGAUCAUUGAAAACUUCAAUGUUUGCCCCAUCCCCCUCUCUCCAAUGAAAUUCACUACAAAUGAGUUGCUUAGCCGCAAAGAUGCCCCUUCAAAUAUAAGAAGGAUUAUUUCUUCCUUUUGCCUCAAGAAAUCCAUAUUAUGGGAAAUUUUUAGCUUCGAAAACUCUGCUUAGAAGAGAAUCCGACUCACUAAUAAACCUAGUAGAUUGCUUGCCUAGCAUUGCCAAAUUAAAGCAAUGUAGGUUUAAUUUGAAAACUCAACCCUCCAAAUUUCUUAGAGACAAAAAGUUUAUCUCAAGAGGUCCAAUGAAUCUUACUUUUAUCAUCAUUCGCCAAGCCCCACCAAGAAGAGUUCAUCAUCUUUGUAAAGUGUCACAAGUGUUUAAGGGAAUGAAGAACACACUCAUACAAAAGAUGGGAAGAGCUUGAGCAAUAUCUUUUAUAAAGCAAUCUAUUCUUCCAACUAUAUGAUCUCUUGCUCAAAUGGUCUCUGAUAAAAGAGAAAACUUGCUUCUUAUUUCUACCAAUUAGAGAAGGUAAACCAAGAUAUUUACCAUGGUUAAGAGGAGCAUAAACACCCAUUGUAAAGAUCACCAAAGUUUUAUCAUAAGCUUUCGUAUUCAAGUUAAACAUGAUGCCUUACGUAUGGAAAUUUAUUGCCUAACCUGAAGCUUCCUUAUAUUGAUGAAGAAUAUUUUUGAUAGUUUGGCUUUUUGAAGCAGUAGCUCGAAAAGAAAGAAAGCUAUCAUCCGCAAAACGUAGAUGAAAAAUGUAAUGAACUGAUUUUUGUCGGUGUUAAAAAGCCGGAUUCAAUGUUAAAUUUCUUAAACCGAAUCGUUCAAAUUUUAAAUCGAGAAGUUAGUAAGUUGAAUGUGGGAUUAAUUAAUAGAAUUGAACAGUAAUUAAUUAAAUUAAGUUGUUUUAUAAUAGUAUAAGGAGUAAUUUAUAAAAUUGCAAACACUAUUGAGUUUUAAUUUAGGGAAUGUAUAAAGGCUUGGUUAGUAAUUAUUAAGGGACCUAAUGGCUAAUUAACCAUUAAUAUCAUAUAAGAUAGUGGGAGAGAAUGAUCUAAGCCUUUCCAUUCCACUAAGUUUAUUAAUCAUAAAUCAUCACCAUUCAUGAGUUAAUUAAACAUAAUUACAAUUCCCUAAUUAUAAGUAUAGAUAGUAAAUUAAGAGAGAAAGAGAAAAAAAAUCAUCUUUCAUUCUCUUCUCUCCAAACCGUAGCAAACCAAGUAGAAGAAGAAGGUUUUCAACUUUUAUUUUGGUUCCAAUUGAUUAAGGUGAGAAAGGUAUCUUUUGAUAGUUUUUAUAGAAUUUUGAUAAUCCAAGCUUAACAAUUCAUUUCCAUGUGUUAGAUUUUAUAAUUAUUAAGUUUUAAUAAAAUUUAUUAUUAAUGAAUAUUGAUGAAAUUAAGUUAGGUAUAGAUAGAUUUAUGAUUAAUAAGCUUGGAUUAUGUUAGGACUAAGUUAGAAAGUAGGGAAAAGAGUUGAAUGUUGUUAGAAUUUUGACAUUAAGGAUUAAAUUGAAUAGAUUGAAAGCUAUUAGAAAAUUUUGCUAUAGAAUGAAAGUACAAGAUCCCUAGUGGUUAAAUUCAAAGCUAGAUUUCAAUUUGAUAAUGAAUAUCGAAAGAUACAAGCAUUUUAAAUAAUAAGGGUUUAUAGAGACUAAAUUGAAUAACUGCACAACAUGCUUAAAUUGACUGUGUGAUUAGUUGAAUCUGUGGUUUUAACUUUGUAUUCGUAUUUUAAUUUAUUGACAUAGCUAUAGAUGAAGCCAAAUUGUCGAGAGAUAAAGGGAAGCCAAAAGCCGUUGAGGACUAGCUAUUUUGGUUUGUACUAACAUACUUUGCUUUCUUUCUUAAAUUCAAUUAAGUAACUAAUCUUGUUAAAUUGCUAGUGAUACAUGAUUACAAACUGUGUUAAAAUGUAUCAUGUUAAAUGUUGGCUUAAUUGGUAAGUUGACAGGUAUGCUUAUGUUCAUGGAAUUCAUUAUGGUAUUAAAAUUGUUAGUUACUUAGUUAUUAGAUUGAGAAGUACAUGGUAAUAUAUACAUAUGUAUAUAUUACAAAGUAUGAGAUUGUCUUAUUAAACGAUGCUAGACAUAGUCAAGGUAUGAUUGGCAUGCCAUAAGAUUCUAAUAUCUAUUGGUGGAAGCAUCCUGACAUUAUGGUGUAAUUCAUUCUGGUAUUACGGUGUAAUUCAUUCUGCAACACCUAUACUUGACCCUAUCGCUGCGCCCAGAUGCUGAAUGUCACAAUUAACCCGAUUAACUUAACAUAAUUUCUAAACUGAUUUAUUCGCGUACUUAAACAUUAUCAAAUCUUAAAUUUUACUUCCACUAUAACUCAUAUCAUACGAGAAAUAAAUUAUAACAAUUCUGUUACCUUAUUGAAACUAGCAGUUUAUACAAUUCUUAAAUUAAAAUUUAAAUACAGAUAUAUUUAAAUUAAUCCGCAAGGCAUAGCCUUUAAGGGUGCCCUUCUAUACGCAUGAUACAACUAUUGCGCCUAUUGAGUUAUGUUGGCAGCGUCUGGCUUGGUUCUCUCAGAGUGACUGAUAAUUUUGAUCUUACGUCCAAGGUAGAACAACUGUAAGUUCAAAUGAACUCAGUGAAGUUUUGUACAACAAAGAAUAUAAGUACUAUAUUUCUGGGAACGAAAUAUAAACACAUUGUGCAUCUUAGGAAAUUUCGUCGACUUGCUGGCUUAACCCAAGCCAUGAAAUCUCUAAGUCAAUCAUUUGACGGGCCUAAUCCCUGGUCUAGACAUAGAUGCGCUUUUCCAAAUAUAGUCACAUAUACAAAUCAUUUAGAUUAUCGACUUCUACUAGCAGACUUUACUUAUGGAAUUUGUAAGACCCAAAUUUUUGCCCGGGCCCAUACCAGUAAACCAACCCAAACAAACCAAAAUAACACAACAAACCUAAUUCAUUACCCCAGGGCCCGAUAAGCCCAAAACACUUAAAAUUUUCAGAAAACCCUAGCCCCCAGAAACCCUUCUGACGCCGCUCCUCUGCCCCCCACGUGAAUGGACACAUCACCCGAGGUUUGACGCGUCUUUGCCGCCGGUCACCUGCAAAAGAGAACAGUGCACAACAGUAGCAAAAUUAUAUAAAAAUAUAAUGUAAAAUCGGCUAUAAAUGGCCUAAAAAAAUAUUGUAAAAGGGGGGAUCUUUGUAACAAAAAUAGAUAUUAGCAAAAAGAAAUAAAAAAACAAAAAAUUGAGAGGUGAUUUUCUCUCAUUUCUGUUUAGAUUUUUAACUCUAUUUUCGUUUUUCUUUUCUCUUCUUUUUGUAUGUUUUUUACAUAGUACAAAAUAAAAGAAAAAGAAAAGCCUUACCUGCGCCGCGCCGGAGGAAGAGGAGACGAACGGUUCUCCUCGUUCUUCAGGUUUUAGGCUCGUUUUUCCUGCGAUUUGGCCUUGGGUUCACGUCCUAGAGACGUUCGGCUUCAAAACAGCACUAAAAAGAUCCCAUUUUGAGCCACCGACUACCGUAUGUGGCGGCGCUACGGUGGGAACUCGCCGGAGAUGUAGGCCGGAAUCGGAGCUUGAGAGAGGCAAGAAGAGAGAGUUUUCUCUCUGUUUUUUAAAACAAAAAUGAUGAAACUAUUUUUUUAGCUUUUUUAAUAUUUAUAUUAAACACAAAACGGCGCCGUUUUAGUCUACCAUGACCCGCGCGUGACCCGACCCGCUCCAGGGGGUCCGCGCGUUUCUGUAAAGUGAGCUAUUUGCGCCCUUAGUCCUUCCUCUUUCGCGAACUGCUGCAAUUCGGUUCUUUUCUGUUUUUUUCCUUUUCUUUUAAUUUGACCCCAUAUUUUGCACUUGUCUCAAUCUGGUCCUUGCAAAAUGAUGCGAGUAAGGAAUGGGGAUAUUGCGCGGUAGGUCCCUCCUUCUUGACGCGCAUUUCACCUUAGUCCUUUGUUAUAAUUUUUAUUUCAUUUUAAAAUCUGUCAUUUAAUUUUGUUUUAAUUUCAGUUUGGUUCUGGGUCUGUUAUUUUAUUAUUAUUAUUAUUAUUAUUAUUAUUAUUAUUAUUAUUAUAAUAAUAUUAUUAUUAUUAUUAUUAUUAUUAUAUAAUAGCUUAAAUAUACAUACACGUAUACCUUUUCUUUAUAAUUUAUUUAAUAUAUAAAUACUUUUAUCUAUGUAUAUCUAUAUACUAAUAUAUAGUAUACUAUAUAUAUAUAUAUAUAUAUAUAUAUAUAUAUAUAUAUAUAUAUAUAUAUAUAUUGUAUAUUGAAAUAUAGUUUCCUUUAUAUAUAUUUUUUUCUUAUUUUAAUUUUUAUAUAUCUCACAUGUACAUAUUUAUCUACAUAUCCUUUUUUUAAUAUUUAUAUGUAUUUAUGCAUCUUAUUUAUAUGUUACGGUUUAUUAUUUCGCAUGUUAUCGAUUUGUUCUUUUUAUUUAUUUUAUUUUAGUUAUUAUUGCCCGUAUUAUUUUUAUACUUUCGUAUUCGUUAUGAUAUUGCCAUGCAUAUCAACAAUGUAAUUUGUUCUCACAUUCUUUACUACGAUUUCGCGUUUUAUUUUAUUGGAUAUACCGAAGUUUGUUUUAAAUAAAUAGCAUCGUGUUUAGAUUCGAGAAGAUCGUGCCCUAACUUACUGGGUUUCGAUCUUCACAACACAUCUAAAUGCACGAUUCUUUUCAAACUUAAGUUCUUAGUAAUCUCGAGAUUUAAAAAAUCGCGUUCUAACUUACUGGUCGUGAUAUCCUUUUUUAAAUUCGAGAUAGCUAAAAUAUCUUUUAAAUAAGUAAAUUUUGGCAUUCGUUCGCGUAUCGGGAAUUCGAGACAUUGUAUCCUAACUUACUGGAUAUGAUUCUCUUUCUCAAAUGAAAUAUGCUCCUUUUUCCAAAAUUCUCAACAUUUUAAUACAAGGAUCGUAUUUUUAAAAUUCUUCAAAGUUUUCAAUUUUCGACAUUAAGACAUUAACUAAUCAACUAGGUAUCAAUUUUGGGCGUUACGAGGGUGCUAAUCCUUCCUCGUACGUAACCGACUCCCGAACCUGUUUUCUGAAUUUUGUAGACCAAACUCGUUGUUUUAAUAAAAUUAAAUUAUUUAUUAAAAACAACCGCUUUUAAAGGUGACCCGAUCACACCUCAUCAAAAAAGAUUGGUGGCGACUCCCACUUUCGUUUUCAUUUUUCAAAACCCAAGUCGACUCCAUCUUAUCAAAAAAAUGGUGUCAACAGCUUGGCGACUCCACUGGGGACUUUAAAUAAGAGAGUCAAGCCACGAGUUGAUUAUUUCUUGUCUUUUUGUCGAAAGUUGAAAACUUGAUUUAAAUAUACGAUCCUCUCAUUGCAUUUUAUUUGUUUUGAGUUAUAGCUUUCAUCAUGUUUUGUAUUUUAAAUUUUUAUAUCUUUCUGCAUUGCAUUGCAUGACCGUUGGUCACACCCUUUUAAGUGGGAGUGAGAAACUACGCCUUCGUGAGGUUUUCACCUCCGCAUGGGACAGUGAAUCGCUUCCGGGAUACAUCUGUACCUAUGUCUUCUUGAUAUUUUCAUCUCCGCAUGGCCAUAGGGAAAUGUAUUCCCCUGAACUGAACUCAGUCCAUAUGAGCCUAUAAUGGGUGAGGAUUGAGGAAUCUGCCGGUUCGGGUACCUUAACUUUAGAACCGAGCCUCAUAUAGUAGACUUAGGAACUUAACCUAGGUAGAGCCACUCCAAACCCCUAGUAUCUACCUGAUUAGGUACCUUUUGUUUUCUGUGCUUGAUUAUGUUUUGUACUAACCCCUCUUGUUGUGUUUUGAUUAUGAUUGCAUUGCAUUUGCAUCUUAGGAAAGAGAUAUGGAUUCAAGUUCGAUUACUAAAUUAGAAAGCUUGUCAUGGAAUAUGAAUUCCUUGAUAAAGGGGAAAAUAAUACGACUUCCCGAAUAUAUUCUGAGGAACGCAAGUAGGGCGAUGGAAGAGUUCGUGACCCUGCUUCAUGGCCUGAGGAUUCAAGGCGAUUGUUUAAGAGCCUUCGACGUUCCAAGAAGCUGACGAGCCUUAUGAAGAUGGGCAGAUGAUGGAUCGCGACCAAGAUCAAAAGAAGGAGCAAGCAAUGACAUCUAUUGGCGAGAUUACCUCAAACAUGCGGAUGCAGAAAAAGAUCGAUGUUGUUUCUUAGAAUAUGAGGGUGAGGCCGUACAUGUAUCCGUUUUAUGUAAGGGAAUUUUCUUUCUAAAAAAGUUUUCUAAAUGUAAUUGAAUCAGAAUCAACGUCUCUUUAGGCAUUCGUUUCAUGCAUUUGCAUCACAUUGCAUUACAUGCAUUAAAAUCCAUUGAAAGAGUCUAAACGAGUAAAUUUAUUUCAGCUAACCUGGAAAACCAACAAACCAAACACCCUUACGAUAUCCAAGAAAAGGCUAGAGAAAUGGAACGAUGGUUGGAAAAAUUAGAGCGAAUGCAGAUCCAGAUACAGGAGCAAUUGACUGAAUUCCAACAGGAGAUGAGAGAUCAGAUGCUAGAAUUACGGAGAACUAUGAUAAACCAGUUCAACCGAUUGCUAGCUAGAAAGUCAAAAGAAGUGCAAGACCCGGUGGUUUACUUUGGGGCUAAUAAUAAGGAUCUCGUCUAUUCCUUAGAUUGUACUCUGACAAGCAUCCAGGUCCAGCCAGAUGGGCACCCACAAGGAACACUUUUCACUAUCGGAUCCCAAUAAUAUCAGACUGGUACAUCGACACCAGUGAAUUGCCUGACAGGCCCAGGAUUCAAUUUAAGGAACAAUUUAGCUAAUCCUGUUGCUAACCUAGCAGAAAUAAAGCAGAUGAGGGUAGAGUGCCCAGAUACUAUAAAAGCCCCAAGGAAGAAGGGAAAUAAACGGGAUAAUGCAAACGGAUAUAACAAGGGCCACUCAAAACCAAUCAUUGUAGGCCGGCCAAAGACAGAAAUUACCAGACAUCGGAGUCCUUUAAAGCGAGAAUCUGGAGUGAAACCAGGUACUGAGAAACUCCAGUUCACACCAAUUUCGACGUCAUAUAAAGAGCUGUAUCAAAGCUUGUUCGAUGCGCAUGUUGUUGCUCCUCAUUACUUAAAACUCAUACAGCCUCCGUAUCUCAAAUGGUAUGACACGAACGCACAAUGCGACUACCAUACGGGAAUUACGGGGCAUUCAAUAGAGAAUUGCAUUACCUUCAAGAAGCUAGUUGAAAAAUUCAUCAACAUGGGUAUUGUCAAGUUGGGUGCCUCAUCUAGUGCAGAAAGUCAUCUACCCAAUCAUAUUGACAACGAGAUGAAUGUGAUAUAUGAAGAAGUGUUGGGAAAUGUUCACAUCGACGAAAAAGCAAAUGAAAAGAGACCUUGUUAGAUGUCUGCCCUUAUAAAUUUGGGAACGUUCUAAGCAAUUGGACUGCAGAAGAAAUUCUUAUAGUUUUUGUUCUUAUUUAGAGUAAUGUUCAGAACAAUUUUGUUGUUUUUAACCUAAAAACAAUAGAAACUUCUUUGUGAAAUAGGCUCAUGUCUGAACGUUAUUAUUCUAAUAAAAUACAUCUUUGCAUUCAUUUUUGAGCCAAUAUUCUUUUAUUCUUUUUAAAUAAUUAUUCUUUUAUUUUUUAGAUUUUCUUCCACAUCAUCCCUUCAUUCAUAAUUAUAUUGUACAAAUUUAUACAUUUUUUUGUAUAUUCUUUGGUACUUGCUAUAGGUCCCCAAAUAUCAAUGACGUGAAUAACACUGCUACAGACUCAGAUUUUCUUUUUGAGCGAGGCAUGUGUUUAGAGGGAUCACGUGACUUUGAAAAUGACAUAGAUCAUAGCUCAUCUCUGGAUUUAUUGAGGAUGGUUGAAUAAAAGGAUAGACAGAUCCUACCUCUCAAGGAAUCAUUAGAAAUUGUAAGCUUAAUGGAGAUUAGAAUUGACCUGACCGCAAAGACGAAGUGAGACUUCAAGAAAUCAAAGGAUGUCUUCACAUAAUCACACCAGGAUAUGCCUGGGUUAAGCACUGAUAAUGAAAUUGACACAACAGAUAAUAGUGUUCAAGGAAAAUUCUUUGUCGGGGCAAUGCCUUUCUCGUUGAGUUAGCAUAGCUUUGCCCAUUUGAAGUCGAGCGUCCAUCUCUUCAAGCUUUGUUGGAUUUUGUCCUAAUUGAAGAGGAAGAUCAAAAAUUUUCUGUCAUAGUUUCGUCCCAGAAGGCUCUCAGAAGGAAAUCCGUUAUCAAAAAGAUUCUUCGAAAGGGACAACAAGGAUUUGCCUAACCCUAUGAGCUCAGAUUCAAUAAAAAAAGAGGAAAGAAAAAUAAAAAAAACAGUAAAAAAACAAAAAGAAAAGAUUCAAUAAAAAAAGAGGAAAGAAAAAUAAAAAAGCAGUAAAAAACAAAAAGAAAAGAAAAAGAGAAAAAUCAAAGUCAAAGUCAAAAUGAAAAUGAAAAGAGGGAAAAAAAGGAGAAAAAAGGAAAAACAGAAGGAGAGGCCAAGGCGAAAACCCGCAAAGGGCGCUUUGUGACCAAAGGUGGUUUUGAGUUGAAAACCCAAAAAGGGCGACUCAAAUUUUGAGCAAAAUAGGGCAUGGACAUCAUCGUUAACGAAGACUUCUAAUAGGCAUUGCUUCACUGUUGGGAUCAUCAAUUACUUCAUCAAAUGGAUAGGGGCUACUUCGUGUGUCAAUGUCAUCAUAUGCCGAUAUAGAAUUCCAGAGAAGAUGGUAUUGGAAAGUGCAUUGAACUUGGAUGAUAACGCGAUAGCUGAGAGCUAUAAUCAAUUCAAAAUCAGACACCACGAUUUGUCACUAUAUUGCAAAACAAUGAAUUGCAAAAAUGACUGAGAUUUACAAGAACCGAUAUGAGAAAUCACCAUUCGCCCUCAUUGCUUGCCGAACAUCUAUCACGAUUUCUAUCAGAGCAAUGUUGUUCUCUCUGGGUUACGGGAUUGAGGUAGUUUUACCUAUUGAAAUCCCCUCUCUCCGGGUAUUAGAGUUGCAAUGAUCCAAUCACGAUGUGAUCAAUGGGACCUAGGAAAAAGGUUAAAAACUAUUCAUCAGGGUCGAAUGUACCAGAAACAAAUGAUACGUGCCCAUAAUAAACAGGGUCGUCUCAGAGAAUUCCAUGAGAGGGCUGGAUGUUGAAACAGAUCCUUCGAAAGGAUUUUAGAUGGAAAUGAAUGCCAAACCGGGAAUGUCCCUAUAUUGUAAAGAAGACAUUUUUCAGAGGAGCACUGAUCCUGAGUGAGAUUGCUAAUCCUAAAAGCUCAGAUCCAGUCAAGAAAUACUUCGUUUAAAGAAGAAGAAAGGACCAAGGUGAAAACCCACAGAGGGCACUUUGAGUCAAAAAAAAUGACAAAUGAAAAAUGAAAAAUGAAAAAUAAAAAUGAAAAAUGAAAAAUGAAAAAUGAAAAAGUAAAAGUGGAGAGGCUAAGGGAAAAACCCGCAAAUGGCACCUUAGGCCAAAGGGGAUUUGAGUUGAAAACCCGAAAAGAGCGGCUCAAAUAUUGAUUAAAGUGGGGCAUGAGGUAAUCAAAGCAACUCGAAUCUUGACCAAAUUAGGCAUGUGGUGAUCUUGCUAUGCCUGAAUCAACAGGAAAGGAUAGGCGACCACAUGGGGAAUCGACAGAGCACUAUAGAUCUCCUAAACACAUGUCCAACUCAAAAUGGUCUUCAGAAAGUUUGUACAGAGAAGUUCAAGCUGCGAUAUCUGGGGCACCCAAUUCUCAUAUUAUUUGUUGUUCUUGGAAUUCCUUUUUUUUUUUUCAAGAUAUACAUUCCCAAUUGUCAUCCUUCUUUACUAUUUUCGAUAAUUUGUUCCUUCGAGCUAUGCUCAGAACCAACUUUAUUCUUAUCCAUUGUUAUGACCUUUUUGCAAACAUGUUGCAUUGGAAUAAUGAUUAAUGGACUAAUAAAACUUUCACAAUGGAAGUUUUGCAUAUUACUCUGAAAAGUUUCUAAAUAAUAUAGGAGCCUGAAACAGGACUAUUGUUUAGAACACACCAAUUUUAAAAGUUGGAAAUAUGAAAAGGAAGAGUCUGAAUUUAGACUUUCUCUUUGAAUUUCGUUGUCGAAUGCAUUAGUUGAACAAAAUGAUAAGAUGACAGGUUAAUGAACAAGCAAGCAAUGAUCAUCAGGCAAUAGGAAGAGAUUACCUCGGAGAAGAGAGCCCUCAUCUGCGCAUAAGUUUUUGAUACGACACCUUGAGAAUGGUGUAAGAAACCAGAAUGAUUCAGAUCCUGUAUCCUUGAAUUGUGAUAAAGCCAUAUUUCUACCCUUGGAUUAAAGUGGGAGAAUGAUGGUACAAGUUUUGCGCCCCAAUGAAUUAAACUUGGAGGUUCAUAGUGGGGGGUAACCUGCUAAAUGUUUCUUCAGAAAAGCCAGUCGAGUAAGAAGGUGUUGUAACAACGUCAGUCACAAAGCCUUAAUAAACUUCGAGUAAUGACAACCUAAGCGGGAUCAUUCUCGAAAAAAUAAAAUUCUACAUUCAUACAAACACCAUUCACACACGUCUAGUUAGGAGCAUUUGAUUCAUUCUGAUCAUGUCAUCCUAAUCACUAGGCACAAUUAGGUUCAUAAAAUAGAACAUACAGAUCAUGUUCCCCAGAGAACAGAUCAAUGAAGUUGUAGAUCUUGCCUUCCUGUAUUAACGGCGGAGCAGAUCGAAGACGGCGAAUCUUAUCUUCCUAAGCAGUAGUGAAGUAAAUUUAAGCUACCAGUCCUAUCUCUCUAAGCAGUAGUGGAGUAGGUUGAAGAUGGUAGAUCCUAUCUCCCUAAGCAGUAGCGGAGCGGGUCAAAGAUGGUAGAUCUUAUCUCCCUAAGCAGUAGUGGAGCAGAUCGAAGACGACGAAUCUUAUCUUCCUAAGCAGUAGUGAAGUAGAUUUAAGCCACCAGUCCUAUCUCCCUAAGUAGUAGUGGAGCAGGUCAAAGAUGGUAGAUCCUAUCUCCCUAAGCAGUAGUGGAGCAGGUCAAAAAUGGUAGAUCCUAUCUCCCUAAGCAGUAGUGGAGCAGGUCAAAGAUGGUAGAUCUUAUCUCCCUAAGUAGUAGUGGAGCAGAUCGAAGACGGCAAAUCUUAUCUUCCUAAGCAGUAGUGAAGUAGAUUUAAGCCACCAGUCCUAUCUCCCUAAGCAGUAGUGGAGCAGGUUGAAGAUGGUAGAUCCUAUCUCCCUAAGCAGUAGCGGAGCAGGUCGAAGAUGGUAGAUCCUAUAUCCCUAAGCAGUAGUGGAGUAGGUCAAAGAUGGUAGAUCCUAUCUCCCUAAGCAGUAGCGGAGCAGGUCGAAGAUGGUAGAUCCUAUAUCCCUAAGCAGUAGUGGAGCAGGUCAAAGAUGGUAGAUCUUAUCUCCCUAAGCAGUAGUGGAACAGAUCGAAGACGGUGAAUCUUAUCUUCCUAAGCAGUAGUGAAGCAGAUUUAAGCCACCAGUCCUAUCUCCCUAAGCAGUAGUGGGGCAGGCAAAAGAAAUCGAUCUUAUCUCCCUAAGCAGUAGUGGAGUAGAUCACAUCAAGUCUUAUCUCCCUAACCAGUAGUGGAGCAGACGAAAGAAACCGAUCUUAUCUCCUUAAGCAGUAGUGGAUUAGAUCACAUCAAGUCUUAUCUCCCUAAGUAGUAGUGGAGCGGACGAAAAAAACCGAUCUUAUCUCCCUAAGCAGUAGUGGAGCAGACGAAAGAAACCUCUUAUCUCCCUAAGCAGUAGUGGAGCAGACGAAAGAAACCGAUCUUAUCUCCCUAAGCAGUAGUGGAGUAGAUCACAUCAAGUCUUAUCUCCCUAAGCAGUAGUGGAGCAGACGAAAGAAACCGAUCUUAUCUCCCUAAGCAGUAGUAGAGCAGAUCGCAUCAAGUCUUAUCUCCCUGAAGUUACAGUGGAGCGGAUUAAAAAACAAAGAUCUUAUCUCUCUGAAGUUGCAGUAGAGCAGAUCGCAUCCAGUCUUAUCUCCCUGAAGUUGUAGUGGAGCAAACUAAAAACAAGAAUCUCAUCCCCCUGAAGUUGCUGCGAAGAAGAUUGAAGCUACAAGUCAGUUCUCUCUGAAAUGUAGUAGAGUGGAUCAAAGCAAGAAGACGUAGUGGACUGGAAAGAAACUACUUGAACAGAGAAGCGUCAAGAGAAGUCAAGACUCGGCGAGACCGGGCAAAUUUGGGCUUUCUUUGUCUUUGCUUUGUUCUCGCUACACGACAACGAGCAAAGAGGGGCACCUGUAAGACCCAAAUUUUUGCCCGGACCCAUACCAGUAAACCAACCCAAACAAACCAAAAUAACACAACAAACCUAAUUCAUUACCCUAGGGCCCGAUAAGCCCAAAACACUUAAAAUUUUUAGAAAACCCUAGCCCCCAAAAACCCUUCUAACGCAGCUCCUCUGCCCCCCACGUGAAUGGACACAUUGCCCGAGGUUUGACGCGUUUUUGCUGCCGGUCACCUGCAAAAGAGAACAGUGCACAACAGUAGCAAAAUUAUAUAAAAAUAUAAUGUAAAAUCGGCUAUAAAUGGCUGAAAAAAAAUAUUGUAAAAGGGGGGAUCUUUGUAACAAAAUUAGAUAUUAGCAAAAAGAAAUAAAAAAACAAAAAUUUGAGAGGUGAUUUUCUCUCAUUUUUGUUUAGAUUUUUAACUCUAUUUUCGUUUUUGUUUUCUCUUCUUUUUGUAUGUUUUUUUACAUAGUAAAAAUAAAAGAAAAAGAAAAGCCUUACCUGCGCCGCGCCGGAGGAAGAGGAGACGAACGGUUCUCCUCGUUCUUCAGGUUUUAGGCUCGUUUUUCCUGCGAUUUGGCCUUGGGUUCACGUCCUAGAGACGUUCGGCUUCAAAACAGCACCAAAAAGAUCCCAUUUUGAGCCACCGACCGCCGUAUGUGGCGGCGCUACGGCGGGAACUCGCCAGAGAUGUAGGCCGGAAUCGGAGCUUGAGAGAGGGAAGAAGAGAGAGUUUUCUCUCUGUUUUUUUAAAACAAAAAUGAUGAAACUAUUUUUUUUAGCUUUUUUAAUAUUUAUAUUAAAUACAAAACGGCGCCGUUUUAGUCCACCAUGACCCGCGCGUGACCCGACCUGCUCCAGGGGGUCCGCGCGUUUCUGUAAAGUGAGCUAUUUGUGCCCUUAGUCCUUCUUCUUUCGCGAACUGCUGCAAUUCGGUUCUUUUCUUUUUUUUCCUUUUCUUUUAAUUUGACCCCAUAUUUUGCACUUGUCUCAAUCUGGUCCUUGCAAAAUGAUGCGAAUAAGGAAUGGGGAUAUUGCGCGAUAGGUCCCUCCUUCUUGACGCGCAUUUCACCUUAGUCCUUUGUUAUAAUUUUUAUUUCAUUUUAAAAUCUGUCAUUUAAUUUUGUUUUAAUUUCAGUUUGGUUCUGGGUCUGUUAUAUUAUUAUUAUUAUUAUUAUUAUUAUAUUAUUAUUAUUAUUAUUAUUAUUAUAUAAUAGCUUAAAUAUACAUACACGUGUACCUUUUUCUUUAUAAUUUAUUUAAUAUAUAAAUAAUUUUUAUCUAUGUAUAUCUAUAUACUUUUUCUUACUUUUCUUACGAAUAUAUGUAUACAUAUUCAUAUAUAUAUAUAUAUAUAUAUAUAUAUAUAUAUAUAUAUAUAUAUUUUGUAUAUUGAAAUAUAGUUUCCUUUAUAUAUUUUUGUUCUUAUUUUAAUUUUUAUAUAUCUCACAUGUACAUAUUUAUCUACAUAUCCUUUUUUAAUAUUUAUAUGUAUUUAUGCAUCUUAUUUAUAUGUUACGGUUUAUUAUUUCGCAUGUUAUCGAUUUGUUCUUUUUAUUUAUUUUAUUUUAGUUAUUAUUGCCCGUAUUAUUUUUAUACUUUCGUAUUCGUUAUGAUAUUGCCAUGCAUAUCAACAAUGUAAUUUGUUCUCACAUUCUUUACUACGAUUUCGCGUUUUAUUUUAUUGGAUAUACCGAAGUUUGUUUUAAAUAAAUAGCAUCGUGUUUAGAUUCGAGAAGAUCGUGCCCUAACUUACUGGGUUUCGAUCUUCACAACACAUCUAAAUGCACGAUUCUUUUCAAACUCAAGUUCUUAGUAAUCUCGAGAUUUAAAAAAUCGCGUUCUAACUUACUGGUCGUGAUAUCCUUUUUUAAAUCCGAGAUAGCUAAAAUAUCUUUUAAAUAAGUAAAUUUUGGCAUUCGUUUGCAUAUCGGGAAUUCGAGACAUUGUAUCCUAACUUACUGGAUAUGAUUCUCUUUCUCACAUGAAAUAUGCCCCUUUUUCCAAAAUUCUCAACAUUUUAAUACAAGGAUCGUAUUUUUAAAAUUCUUCAAAGUUUUCAAUUUUUGACAUUAAGACAUUAACUAAUCAACUAGGUACCAAUUUUGGGCGUUACGAGGGUGCUAAUCCUUCCUCGUACGUAACCGACUCCCGAACCUGUUUUCUGAAUUUUGUAGACCAAACUCGUUGUUUUAAUAAAAUUAAAUUAUUUAUUAAAAACAACCGCUUUUAAAGGUGACCCGAUCACACCUCAUCAAAAAAGAUUGGUGGCGACUCCCACUUUCGUUUUCAUUUUUCAAAACCCAAGUCGACUCCAUCUUAUCAAAAAAAUGGUGUCAACAGAAUUCAUUAUGGUAUUAAAUUUGCAAAUCAUAAAAUGUGUAUGCGAGUUUGGAACGUUUACUUAUAAAACUCAAUAUAUUUAAGAAUAUCAACCUAUCGACUUUAUUCACUUGCUUUGUAAAAACACAUAUUCCUGAUUAAAAUUUUCUUAAAAUUGUUUAGCUAUGAAAAUUGAUCGUUUAAUUUAUAUUAUCAGAAAUUAUGCCAGUUUUUAAAAUUAUUAGCCAAAAACUUAACAAAUCCCAAAAACCAAAUCUAAAGUCCGAAAACAGUCUAAUAGUCCAAAAAUCCGUAAAGUUUAAAAAUAAGAAUUUUCUGAAAGGUUUAACACAGAAAAACCAAAUCGAGCUCCUAAUCACUACCAAAUCCUAAGUUUGAGGAUUACUUAAAAAAAUUAAACAAACGGAGUGAGCUGUAAAACUCAGUGUGUGCCUCGGCCCACAAGAAAAAUCACAAACAGAAUCAUGUUUAGAUGCAUAUAUCAAAGUAGACAGAUAAGAAAUUACGCAUACUUAGCAUGACAUAAUCAUACAGAAUAAUCCUACCCCCAUCCGCUACGCACCAACUCCGUCCAACCAAUCACACCAAAUAGGGCUACAAGAACUCAUCCAUCCAUCACACCAUGUAGUGGUCGUACGCCACUCAUAUAAUAUGCAACUAUGCUGCAGAGUAUAUAUAUUGUGAGUAUAUUGCCAGAAUUAUAUAAUGCAGUAAAACUGCUAGAAUCACACUUCCUCUAAUAAAUAUAUCCCACCCCAAAUGCACAUGCAAAGUCAUACUAAAUUGUAAUACCCAAUUUUUAGCCCGGGCCCAAUACCAUAAAUGAAGCCCAAAUUACAAACUCAAAUCCGACUACAUCAGAUCCACUAAGCCCAAAUAUUACAAACCCAAUACCUAAGUCCAUUACCUUAACCCACUAGCCUAAAACAACAAAAAAACAAACACAGAAACCCUAAGCGGCUAGCAACAAACCAGCGCCGCAUGCGAGAGGCAAUAAUAGCAAAAAAAAGACGACAAAAAUGUAAAAGUGGGGAGUUUUUGAGAGUUUUUUUUUAUUUUGGCUAUAUAAAGCUAAAAAAUAUGUAAAUGGGGUUAGACGAAUAUUGUAUCGAAAAUAUUAAAAAAUAUGAAAACAAAGAAUCAAGGAACAAUUUUGAAGAUGAUUUGUUUUUUUCCCUUUUUCGAUUUUUUCUUUUUUCAUCAGUUUUUAUCUUUAUUUCAUAUUUUAAAAGAUAAUAAAAAGAAAAGAGCACUUACUUGGUUUCGAGCGCCGUAUACUGUGGUUCCACAGUUGACAGAUGGCGGCGGUGUGAAGGUGCUAGGGUCGAAACCCUAGCAGAAGACUCCCACCCCCUUUUUGUUUUUUUUUAAAAGAAUGAAAUAGAAAUGUUUUUUAAGAAAAUUUUUGUUUUUAAUAAUAUAAGCAAAAUGGCGUCGACCCGCAAGCAGGGUCCGCGCGCUCUUGCCUUAAAUGGGAAAUUUGCAUUUUUGAUCCUUCUAAUUUGUUUCGUUGUUUUAAUUUGUUUUCUUUAUUUUCUGAAUUUGCCCCAUUUAUUUCCAAUUUUAUUUUUUUUAAAUCCCUUUAAAAUGUAGUGUUUGAAAGGUUUGGGUAAAUUCUCGAUUGGCCCUCCAGGUUACGCGCACUUUGUAAAUUUGCCCUCUGUUUUAAUUUAUUUUUGUUUUUUUUUAAAUUCUUUUUUGAUUACGAUUUAAUCCUUUGUAUUAGUUUUUACUAAUUAAGUUUAAUAUUAGCUUGCUAUUAUUAUUAUUAUUAUUAUUACUCUAUUGUUAUUAUUUUCAUUAUAUUAUAUUUUACUAUUAUUCUUAGUAUUAUUCUUAGUAUUAUAGAUUACUAUCAUAUUUGUUUAUAUUUUCAUUUAUUUUUCAAAUAUAUAUGUAUUAUUUUACUAUAUACUAUUUUAUUUUAGAAUUACUUUGUGUAUAGUUUUAUUUCAAGUUGUUUUGUAUAUUAAUUAUUUUAAAAUUAUUUUCAUAUAACAUUUAUUUAAACUUCUACUAUUUAUUAAAUCAUUUUACUCAUCUUAGUUUAAAUUCUAUUUCUUUUUUUGUUCACUGCAACUUUAUGUAUAUGUUAAUAUGCAUAUAUUAUUAUAUUAAGUUCUCCAUUUUAUAUGUAUUACUUAUCUAGACUCAUAUAUAGAGAUAUAUAUAUAUUUUUUUUUACGUCACUUGUGUUGAUUUUCUUCCUAUUUUAUAUAUAUUUUCCGCUUAUGUAAAGUCUAUUUUUAACUCUAUUUUGGAUCUAUUUCAAACUUAUAUAUAUUAUUUAAAAUUGUUGUACAUUUAAUUUAUUAUUUCAAUUUCCAUUCUUUUAAGCCAUUUGUUCUCUAGUUUUUUUAAACUUGUACAUUUUAUGUAUGUUAAUUACUUGGUACUUCUUUAGGAUUAAUUUUUAGUUCAUUGGUAUGUUAAUAUCAAUUAAAUACGCAUUGAGUCAGCUUUAUAAUGCAUUUCGAGGUUUCGGAAAAUCGUAUCCUAACUUACGGGGUCUUGAUUUCCAUGCUAGCUCGAAAUGACCUUUUUCAAAAGCCUGUGUUUUUAAAUAAAAUUAAAGGCAAGUUACAUGUCGCCUUUGGGACUUCGAGGGAUCAUACUCUAACUUACGGGGUUUUGACUUUCUAGUCGAACUAAAAUGGCUAAAUAUUUCUUAUCUUUCAAAAAUCGCUAAAUUUCAAGAAAGUUUUUAAAUGUUAGCUCAUUCUUGAGAAUUCGAAUGUUGCAUCCUAACUUAUGGGGUACGACAUUUCAUUGCCUCUAGGCGAGAAGGCCUUUUACACUCGUUCAAAUUUAUCCAAGCGUUUUUUUUUUAAAUGUAUGGUAUCAAUAAAAGGGGAGUUAUUUUUUCUAAAAUUCUUGGAUUUUUAUCAUUCGACUAUAAGAUAUCCAUUAAUCAACUAGGUAUCAAUUUUGGGCGUUUCGAGGGUGCUAAUCCUUCCUCAUGCGUAACCGACUCCUGAACUUUUUUUUUCAAAUUUCGUAGACCAAAAUCGUUAUUUUAGUAAAUCAAAUAUUUCAAGGUGUCCCGAUCUCACCUCCAAAAAAGGAGUGGUGGCGACUCCAUUUUUCGUUUUCAAAGUCGACUCCCGUUUUAAACAAAAGUGGUUUCGAAAAAAUGAUCAUGCAUAGUUCUCAUAUCAUGCACACCUACUUAUAAACAAAUCGGAUACAUGUUUUUCGUACAUGCAAGAUAAUACAACAACUCAUACGUGUAAUCUUACUCAGUGUAACACCCUUAACCCGUCUUUAUCGCCAGUUUUGAGUUACGGGCAUUAUGGUACCAUUUAGAACCUUUAAACUCAAACAAUAACAAUUAUUACUAUUUAUCCCCUCUUGAAAGCUAGAAGUUAGAUACAUAACACGACUAAUUCAAUUAUUAAUUUUUGGAUAUUCAGUCAUUUCUAAACUAUUACCUUCAAUAAUAUUAGUAGAAUGAUCUACUUCAAUCAAAUUAAGAUUGCCCAAACAAUUUCAAAUUAUAACACUUGUCAUAAAUGACAGAUAAACAUUUUUAUAUAUCUCAAAUCAAGUUUACAAUAUGUUAAUGUAGUAUUCAAACACUUUUCAUUUCCAAAUUUUAAAUUAGAAAAAUGAUUAGUGAAAUUUUGUAGAUGGUAUCGAUACCAGAACAGUACCUUAUUGAAAAUCGAUACCAAAUUGCUAUACUAUUUUCCAAAGCCAAGUAUCGAUACCAAGUGAUGAGGUAUCGAUACCUAAGUUUAAAUGGUAAAAAUCACAAGUUCAAAAGUCAAUACACACCAACUACACAUACCAUCAAAUAAUACAUUCAUUUUACUGCAAAACAAAUUAAUUCAACUAUCCUAUAAUAACUAACCAAUAUGUCAUUCAAAGGAACCACAAUCAAGCUCAUUCAAUUCAUCAUUUCAUACUAAAUCCUUAUCCCAAAGUGAUCAUAUAAACCACAUUAACCAAACAUAUUCAAUUGAACCACAAGGUUUAUAAUAAAGAUAUGCAUAAUAGCUUGCCAUACAAAAGCAUUAAUACCAAGAUUUAAUUUUUAAGCCAACUUAAACUCAACCAAAACUAAUUUUCAUCUAGGCAUAAUAUCUCAACCUUAACAUUUGACAUAUUCAUAACAAAAACAUAUAUACAUGCCACACCCAAGGCCAAAAUACAAAAACUACCAAAUGGUUGGAUAGUGUAAGCUUCUCGUUGAUCCGUCCAGUCAGUCCGCUACUAUAGUAACUACAAAAGAACAUAAAUAAAACGAGUAAGCUUAAGAAGCUUAGUAAGUUCAUAGCUUAAAAGCAUCAAAUUAAUCUUACCUUACUUGUAUCAAAAUAUAAAGAAAUAAUAUAUAAUUCCUAUUAAUCCAAUACAUAUCCGUAGCUCGUAUUAGCUCUUGAUCUCAUAACAUAAAUACAUCAGGAUAAUCCCCUAUACAACUAACUUGCCAUUUCCAUAAACAACAUUUCAUUAACAUAGAUGUACUUGUAUAUAAUCAAGUCAACAAGUAAAUUCAAUGAACAUUUCAUAUCUUUACUGAUCUUGAAUAUAUAUAUAUAUCACAUUUCGAUCCAUAAAUCGAUUGUAUAAUCCAUUAACAUGUAGUUCGAUGAACUAAGUAACUCGACUCAGAUGCUCAGGUAACUACACCACACCAGAAACAUCAUAAAUGCAUAACAGGGGCACCAAAGUGCAAAUAGUGGCACAAAUGUGCAGACAAGGGCACCGUUGUGCGAACAGGGACACUGAAGUGUAAAUCUCGUACAAGCGUGCAUACUACCCUAUUGGCAUGCCAACCCUAUCCUAUACGGUUACUAGAUUCAACCGGCCAAUAUACAUAAACUCUUUACUUUAAUACGUUUUCCUCACACCAAUGUAUUUCAUAAACAUGUCCUUAUUUGAAAUUCUCCACAAUACAUCAUUCAUUAAAGUAAAUUUCACAAAAAAUCAAUACUUAACUAAAAGCGUAAAUUUCACAAAAAAUCAAUACUUAACUAAAAGCACAACAAUAUAAUAAUAACAAGUAAUUCACACUUAUAAGGCACAUCACUAUGAACUUACCUACGAUCACUUCCGAUUACAAAGCAAGGACUACUCCACAAUUUUCCCUUUUCCUUAGUUGACGUCUUUUUGGUUUGAUUCUUGAUAUGCAAAGAGUUUAUGUUGGUCGAAUAUAAAGCUCCAACAAUGGUGGUUUUCUUCUAAAUUUUCGGUGCACUCCAUGUGAAAGAUGACAAUGUUUCUUUUAUUAUUAUUUUACUUUAGUUUUAAUAUUAAUUUACUAUUCUACCCUUUUUAUUUUAAUAUACAAUUUAACAUAACCUUGUCCAUAAAAUUCCACUACUUUUAUGCAUGGCAUAUUUACCACCUAAGUCCUUUAACUUACAUCUCCAAAACCAUUUAACCCAUUUAACUAAUAGCAAUCAACUUUUGCAAGUUUUACAAUUUAAUCUUUUUUAAUUAAUUAAACAACCAAACAUUAAUAUUUCUUCACCAAAAUUUUAUACGACUCUAAUGCAACCCUAUAAAUAUUAAUUAAACAAUAAAAUGCAACCCCACAUACCAGAAUUGUGAUCCCGAAACUACUGUUUCUGGCACCACUGAAAAAUAGGGUAUUACACUUAGAGUCACAUUUAUAAAAAAUUAUGAACGCACCAAUUUAUGGCUUCACAAAGUCUAAUAUCCUUAUUGAGCCCAUGCAAAUCAGAUUUUAGAAUACUCAGACUUAGCCCAACAAAUUGCAGGAAAUAGACCAAGUGUGAGUAUUCUGAAAUCUGUUCAGGCCAUGUGGCCCACACGAUCUGGCACCCUAUAAAUAUUAAUUAAAUUAAGGUGUGUGCUCCAACCACAUGCCCAUGUGGUUUACACGGCCUAACACGCGGCCAUGGCAUCAUCUGCCAGUUUCAAAUUUUCACAAAAUUUCAAAUUUUCGUGACUUUUCACAAUAUUUACGGAUUAGAACACACACUUUAAUGUUAAUUGGUUGUCGGCACCGAAUCAGCACUCCAAGUUUCUGUACACAACAUCCAUGACCAACCCAAUUAACAACCAAUAUCAACACCGAAGCUUGAAUUCGAUAUUUAAAACUUAAUAAAACCAGCCCCUAAAACUAACAUUUGGUCGUUUACCUCAGAAAAUCAGCGGUUAACAACAACUAGCCUGUUGGCGGAUUGCGUAUCUCACGAUUUUCACCCAACAGAACCAAAACUCUCUCAAAAUCAAAGUCAACCUUCUAUAGACAAACGAAUUAUGAUUGCAAAAUAAGAUAACAAAAAUUAUGCAACUAUACCGAAGUUCCGUAGAACACACAACCAACAAUGAAAACAAAGAAUUGCCAACGUCACUAAGAGGAUUCAAACACAAGACCUAAAAGUAAGUUAUAACUUUACCACUGAACCAGAAGACUCAUUCUUACCAAUAAGCUAACAAGAAUAAAUUAGAACCUACAAGCAAUGAGCCAAAAGAAGGAAUAAAAAUAAUACAAAAUUUUUAAGGAAAGCAAUUUGAACACAAGACCUUAAACACAUAAAUAGAAUACUUAACUAUUGAACUAAAUUAAUUUAGCUAACAUAAUUUAACAAUUUAAAUCUAAGAAAUUUGGGGCGUUACAUUACAAUUGUGCUUAACCUAAAAUCAGGGAUUCAAAUCAUAUUAUAUUAGUCAAGGUUACGGACCAAUAAAUGCUAUCGCGGUAAAAUUUGAUAAAUAUCAGCAACAGAGAAAAUUGAAAUUACAAAAUAAUGACUGUAAUAUCAUAUUGUGACCACUAUUUGAUAUUUUGAAAUUUUCUCGUCAUUGAUCAAAGUGACAAAGAGAGGGAAUAAAACUACCAAAUGAAAGUAACAUAAAAUACUUGAAAGAUGUUGUAAUUGAGGAAGGGGCCAUGCUUUGGUUCUUUGCGUGAAAGAUGAUUGAGAGAAAGCAAUGGGAUGCCAAUGCCAUACAUUUUGUACGUAAAAACAAGCCGGCCUUUCAAUUGCUCUUUUAUCAACUAAAUUGUAAGUUUUACAGCCAAGGCAUAUCACAUUAUGGGCAGUUUUUGUAUGCUUCUGAAAACCCAAAAAAAAUCAUAUGCAUAGUGAAAACAACAUUGCUUUCUUUCAACUGCAAAGACAUUGGUGAAAACAAGAUUGCUUUUGAAAACCCAAAAGAAUCAUAACACAAUUUAAAUCACAAAUCCUCAGUCUGACUAUACUUCCUUUCAACUGCAAAGACAUUGGUGAAAACAACACUGCUUUCUUUUGAUAGGGAAAGGGUUGGGCGCUAUGGAAGGCAGUGUAGUCAGGGCGAGGAUUUGUGAUUUAAACUGUGUUUUCGACUGUGUGGCGUUUAAUAUACUGAAAAAAACAUUGAUUGCAUUUUUGGCUUCAGCUUUGGGUGGGGAAGAGGUUGAACUUAAUAAUUAAGAUGCAUCAAAUUGAGGAUUAGGGAUUUAAGUUGUAAUUAUGGACAUGUUUUCAGUAUUUUGCUAGUAAUAUUGAAUGCUGCAAUCAAAUACGUAAAAGAAAUGACAAACAUUGAUUACAAGAAUGCCAUGAUCAAUGAUGGAGAAAAAAAAUUCAAAAAGCAUAGUCUUCUUUUUAUUUAUUUAUUUAUUUUUUUUGUAAUAUUGGGGUUUUCAUUGUGAUUGUAACACAAUUUUGAUUUUAUCACAUUUAUAACAAAAUGUAGGUGAAAAAUAGAGAUAAUAAAUAUAAAAAUAUAUAUUAUAAUUAAUUAAAGUUUUGAUUGAAAUGAUAAAAAUUAAAUUUUUAAUAAAUUAUGAUUGAAUUGAAUCUCAAUUUAUACGUGACACCAAUUUAAUUAAAAAUCAUAUGAAUCGUAAAUAAAAGAAAAACAUUACUUUCUUUUUCAUACUUUAACUUAAAGGGAGAAGUAGAGUUAAACUUUUAAAUAAGAUUUAUGAUUAAGGGUUAUAGUUUAAAUAUGCGAUACGUUUACUUACAGUUAAAGAAAACAUAACAAUAAUAAUAAAAUUAAAUAUUAUAAUAAUAUUAUAAUAUGAAAUAAAAAGUAAAUUAAAUAUACUACACCUCUGCACAAAUAUAUGUAAGUGCUAAAAAAACCCAUCAAUCUCAAGUUCAACUGUGCACUAAAUUUAAAAAGGACCAAUAAGAAAUAAGAAAAAUGAAAAUGAAAAUCAUAUCAUCAUUUAAUAGGGUGGCCAACGGUCGUAUCUAAUUAAUUAUUGAGAAAAAUGAAAGGGAUCGUAUCUUUUUAGCACUGUUGAAGGGUUCCAACUGGGACUGUGUGGGGUUUGUCAUGUUGGGAGGAAAAGUAGAGGCUUAGGAAGGACCCACUUAUCACGUGGGGAGGAAUUACCCUAAUGCCAAAUCCAUCAACAAAAACAAAAGCACUGGUCAUUUACAAAUCUCCCCUAAUCCCUUCCCGGCCAAUUAUCAUCUAUCUCCCACGUGGGAUUCCUGCCCCCCAACCCGGCCAUCCCCAUCCCCUUCCACCUCCUUUUCCAGAACUCCCUAUAUCUUAUAUUCUUCUACCCCUCCCCCACCCCCCUAAGAUUUGCUACAAUCAUAUUGCACUUGUAAUCAUGGGGGAUUCUUCAACUUCCUACAUACACAUGGUCUUUGCUUUUCUUUUUCUUUACUUUGAUUCCGUAUGUAUUAAGUAUAUAUGUAAUGCUUUUUCUUUUGUUAAUUAACAGGUGCAGCACAUGAUAGAAAAAUGUUUGAUCUUCAACAUGACAAAAGAAGAGUGCAUGGAAGCACUUUCAAAGCAUGCAAAUAUUAAACCUGUCAUCACCUCUACUGGUAAACUAUUAACACACAUAUUUUGCAUGCAAUAAUGGAAUUAAGGAUAGUGUUUUUUGGAUUAUUUGGAUCAAACCCUAAUGAUCAAGUUUUGGGUUUUGCUUAUUUUCUUGAUAUCUUUAAUGAUUCCGUUGCAGAUAUUAUUUCAAUCCAUUUAGAACUGAUCAGCUUCAACGGGUUUCGUUUUCUUCUACUGAUAUCUUAACCUAUCCACCUAAAAACUCAGAUCAAACUAGAGUAGGAUAAGGAAAAAGGUCGUCAAAUUUAAACAUAUUUUAUGUCAUCUCCUUAAGUGAAUAUUUUAAACUAAUUGAAUUAAACUUCGGGUUUUCUUUUUAACUUAAAUGGUUUCCAUGAUCACCUGAACUAACUGGACUAAAAUCCAAUUCAGGUUUAAACUUGAUCAAAAUUUGGGCUUGAAUCUAGGUGGAAAUUUUCAACAUAUUUUCACAGAAUUGCAGCUUUCAGUUAGUCUUUUUACAUUUUCAGAUCAGCUUGAUUACUUGUUGGUUCAUUUUGUACCUAUUUUUUUUCUUUAUAUGAUCAAUGGUCAUCCUAUUAUGAUAAUAAGGAAUAAGUUAUUCAUAUAUAUAUAUAUAUAUAUGUACAGUUUGGAAUGAGCUUGAAAAGGAAAACAAGGAAUUCUUUGAAGCCUAUGCACAAUCUCAAAGCAAACAAGACCGAAUGUCCGAGGAAGAGACGAGCCGAAUGAUCCAGAAGAUGAUCUCGGAUUCCUCUAGUAAAGACCCUGACAAAUGAGAUCGGUCUGAUCCGGGAUUUAAAUAACGGUUACACAUUCAUCAUUUCUCGAUUCCAACUCCUUUGUCAUUGCUAUUCAACAUAAUUGAUUACAAUAACAUCUAUUAUAGACCAAAAAUGUAAGUAUUGCAACUGUAAUUUAAAUCCCGUUAGAAAACCCGAAAACCUCCUUCCCUUAUCUAGCGAAACAAAUGAUACCAAAAUCAAAGCCAUUGUCCAUGGAAUCCUUUUAGAAAACUUUGGGAGGGGCAGUGGUCCUAUUACACAUAUGUUUACUACGGAAGAUCACGGAGUAUUGUAUUUUGAUUAUCAUAGGUCCCCCUUUCCAAAUAAAAUCUAAGCUACCCUAAUUCAAAUAAUCAAUCAUUGUAUGCCACGUGGAUACCGCAUAACAAAAUUCCGAAGAAAAAUACGAAAAAAGGUUAUUGUCGUAAUUUUAUCUCAAUCUUCGUUGAGGGUUACUCGUCAUUAUAUUAUGUUAGUAUAUGUGUAUAUGAAGUUAGAAAAUUUGUAUCUAUGUUUUUGUUGUAUGUAAAUUGAAGGGGAUAGUUAUGGUUCUAAUGGCAACCUCUGAAAAUCUGUGUCAUCCUUUGUCUUUGCAGAAGAUUCUUUUGUCUUUGCUUUGUCUCGUGUGUGUAGGUGUAUAUAUAUUAUUGCAUACCAUGUGAGUGAAAAAGCUAUAUAAAAAUAUAUUUAUAAAAAAAUUGUUUGAAGCUUUAAAGAUUAUACAAUCUUAGCUUCAAGUCUCACAAUACGUAUUUAUAAAAAUAUAUAAAGGAAAAAAAAAAUUUAUAGCAAUAUUUAUUAUUUUAUAAAAAAUUAGUCUUUAGUAAUUUUGUAACUAUUAUUUAUCAUAUUAACUUAUACCACUAAAUCAAUUAAAAAAAACUUUAAUAUAUUAUGUUUUAUGAAGAAAAAUGGUACAGAACAUAAAAACAAAACAGUGGGGACUCCUUGUCUUUAGAAGCUUGGUCACGUUCACGAAUUUUUAUGCUCCAUUAAUGCAUGUGAAGGCGAAUGAAUGGAAAAGUGUAGAAUUAACACUAACACUUGAAGACAGAACAUGUAAGAAAGUUUAUGUAAUCCUAUGUAAGGAUUGGAUUCCUUAUUAUUAUUGGUUUGGAUUGGAUUGACUAAAUUCUAGAUAAGUUUAACUUGAUCUCUAAGAAAUUUCAUCUACUCUUAUCCAAAAACUGAAUUAUUUGACUGAGUUGAAUUGAAUUAAUUCGAAUAAUUAAAUUUUAAUUUAGAUAAACUUAACUUGGUUUGAAUUAAUAAUAAAAUUAGAAUUUUUAUUUAAAUUUAAUUAUGGAAAAAAAUAUUGAUGUAAAAAUAUUAUUAAUAUAUUAUUAUUUUGGAAUAAUUAAAUGGGUUAUUUAAAUUAAUUUUAAUGGACUUAAGUAAGAGAGUUUUUAAUUUUUUGAGCGUCUUAAAGAAGUUUUGAAUCUCAUAUAGAUACUGCAUUAGAAUUUGAAUUCAGAUAUAAAUGUUAACACUAACUUUAUUCUAUGAGAUACAUUUGUGGGAAAAAUCGUGAGGCCCAAUGAGUUAAUUUGACAAGAACUUACGGGUUGGUGCAUACUAAGAUUUUAAUUUAGACAAGCCGAGUUUGAAUAGGAAGAAGUUCGAGCUUGAGUUUGAGCUUAGUUAGAACUUGCUAGUCGAAGCUCGGCUCAAGAUAGAUCAAAUAAUAUUAUCUAAGCUUAAAUCUAAUUCAAAACAAAACUUAACAAUACAAGCUCACCUUGGUUAAACUGGUUUACGCGAGAUAUAUGUUAGAAUGUUUAUUUAUUAAAUAAAUAUUUUAUAUAUAUUGGUGGUUUUUAAUUUUAUAAUACAAAUUUAAGUAGUUUUAUAUAUUUAGGGUAAUUACCAUUAAGUAAAUAUUUUGACUUAAAUUGUUGCCAUAUUUUGUGGGAGAUUAAAUAGACUAUGAGAGAGUUUGAUGGUAACUAUUCAUCCCUACUCUUUCAUUCUCUUUAAAAAAUCCACAUACUUUUUUAGAGUCUUUUCAGAGGUCCUCAAUAUUGAAAGUUCUGUAAGCGUACAAAUUCUACAUCCACUACACACCAUCUUCGGCCAUCCCAACACAUCGUUAAGGGCGUUCAAUGCCCAACCAACCCUGCACACCAUAGAGUGUAUGUCUAACAUGUUUACAGAAACGCAACUUAGCUACUAAAUCAUAAUGUGACGAAACGUCGGAAUCAGAAUUAUACAUAUGGUGGCUUAGCCACUAAUUUAAAACAAAUCACUUCCUUCUUCAUAAUAUCCCAACCCAUGCAUAUGCAAAGAACCAAUAUCCACAAUAUGUAUUCAGUUAUUCUAAAUUGUUCCACAAGUAAAUAGCACAGUUCAAUAUCAGACUAAGUAUCACAGUACACAUACAGGUAUAGAAUUCAUGCAGAUGUCGCAGGGUAUCAGAGAAUUCUCAAUAAGUCAAAUUCAAACCAUUCAUACCAUGAGAUGUCAAUAUCAGUCUUAAGUAACAUUUACGGCCUCAAAAACGGUUUUCAGGCCCUUUUAUAUGCGCCACACUGCCUAAACACACAUCCUUGUCCUUGCCCGUGUAGUUCACAUGGCCUAGGCACACGCUCAUGUCCUUACCCGUGUGGUUUUAAAGCAUAAAUAAGAGAGUUACAUAGCCUAGACACACGGCCGUGUCCUUCCCCGUGUGACUCACACGGCCUGGGCACACGUCGAUGUCCUCGCUCGUGUUGUCCUAAGUCACAAACAGUGAGUUACACAGCCUAGACACACGCCCAUUUCCCUUGCUCGUGUGAAACCUACACUAAUAUCGUCACACAUGUCCGUGUGCCUUGCCCGUAUGGCUCCAAAUUGAUGAACAGUAAGUUACACGACCUGCUACACGGCCGUGUGGCGUAAACAGCCACAAUUUUUGGAGACCAAAACUUGCAAAAAUUAACGUUUUCGGUACGCACCUGGUCUCACUUUGCUGGAAAAAUAAUGCGGAGACUACCCAAAACCUAAUUAACCAUUCGGCAAUCAAUCAUUUGAGUAAAACGACUAAGUAACUCUACAUUAAUACUCAAUCAAUUAUGUCGAAUAAAUCAACACAAGGAAACUUUCAACAACGAACGCUUACCAAUGAUUCAACCGUGCUAAAUCGGCACGCCACACGAAAGGUCACUUCCCUCCAUACUGACGACUAAGGGAACAAAACAAUUAGUUAUCAUAGAGUUUAAGUAAAACAAUCAGAGAUUUCCCAAUUUAACAACGCAACAGAAAUCUAACAAAACUUCACAGAAGUUGAAGGAUUCCGACAGAACUUACACAGAAGUCUUCCAAUAACUUAAGGGGCUUACUAAUUUUUUAUAUUCACUUGUUGAACACAAUCGAAAAGGAGAAAUCAAAGAAGUAAAAAGAAGAAAGAAAGGAAAAAUAAAAAGAAAGAAGAAGAAAGAGUACAAAACGUUAACAAAAUUUUUAUGAUGUUUUUAUAUUAACCACCCACUUACUUCCGAUAACAAGCAAAAAUUCUCCUAACUCAUACGGUGGGAUUCGAACUCGGGACCAGACAGGAUACAAACAGAUGCUUAACCAAUGAACCAGCAAGCUCAUUCCUGACAUAGAUUCAUACAGAAUUACACUUAACCAUAUAUUGCAAAGAUAGCGGUUGUUUGAAAAGGAUAAAACUUUUAACGAUACAACUCGAACUCUAGAACUUAAACACAAAAGCAAAGCACAGGACCACAGAUAUAGAAAUUUAAUUACUGUAGAUUCUCACAAUUAAAUUUUUAAAAUUUUGGGGCGUUACAUAAAGUCACAGCUUGAAUUCUCAAAGUUGCAACAACCAAACCUAGAGAUAUCUUGUAAUCACAUAAAGGUUAAUAACUUUAAUUUGUAAUUAAUCAUAUUAAUGUAGUUAUUUGCUUAUAUGGAAUAAUUAUAGUUUCUUGAUCAAUUAGGAUGGAAUAGAGGUUAUUUGUUUCCUAAUUAGCGUAUAAGCAUUAUGAAAUAUAAGUAAUUUCUAGUUUCAUGAAUAAAGAAAAGUGGCUUAUAUUUUGUGAUAUCUUUGCUUAUCGGGAAAUGUUAUUAUAUGCCUAUUUAUUUAUUGUUGAUUUGAUAAAUGAUUUACAUUGAUAAAUUCAUAAUUUUGUUUAAUGAUUUAUGGUUCAAAAUUUUUUAGUAAGCAUGUAACACCCCUAACUCAUAUCCGUCGUCCGAACAGAGUUACGGAAGAUUACCGAAAUUUAUAAAUCAAAUACAGACAUUUCAUUUCAUUUAACAUUCAUGUCAGAAACCAAAUCAAAAUCAAUCAUAUUGUCCCUCACUUGAGCCCUCGAGGCCCAAACUACACAUUAGAAACAAGUCGGAACUAAACCGGGAGCUCAGAGAAUUUUUCGCGAAACUUCAAAAAUUUUGCCUAGGUACAGGGGACACACGCCGGUGUGGCCAAGCCGUCUGGCUCACACGAUCAAGAGACAUGCUCGUGUCUUAGGUCGUGUGGGCAUUCGAAGUAAGGUACACAGCCGUGUCCCAGCCUAUGUCCAAAUUAGGGUGCUCUCUGACUUGGGUCACACAGCCAAGCUACAUGCCCGUGUGAGCAUACUAACUUGCAUUUAAUAAGUACAGGGGUUACAUAGCCAAGCCACACGCCCGUGUGCUAGGCCGUGUGAAUAAUUAUGAGUGUUAUGUUUCUCAAAUUUUAAGCUGCAGGGAACACACAGUCAAACCACACGCCCAUGUGCUAGGCCAUGUGUCACUCAUGGCUGAGACACACGCCCGUGUCUCUGCCUGUGUAAACGAAAAUAGGCCAUUUCUAAGGCCACUUUUCUCACCCAAUUUGUCUUCCACCUACAUUAACACUUUAACACUUUCACCAACCAAUACAAGACAUCUAACUCAAGCCAAAACCAAGUUUAAUACAUAUCAUAACACCCCAUAUGCCUAAGUAUUCAAUCUUACCUAAAUGACCAUAUAAACAUAUAUGCAUAUUUCUCCAAUCAUGUUAUUUCAAACCAUUCAUCAACAUAAUAAACAUGAUAAGCCACAUAUAUAUACAUAUCAAAUAUAUACUUUUAAGCCAACAUUGGCCAAAUCACCCUAUACAUGCCAUUAUAACCAAAAGUAAUUUGCUAUUUAUACCGAAAUGAGCUGAACGAUAGUGUGAUGUUGCUCCGACCAACUUCCAACCAAAUCUUGCUUCCAAAUUACUAUAAAACAAAAGAAAUGAAAUAGAGUAAGCAUUUAAUGCUUUGUAAGUUCAUAUAACGGAAAUUAACUUUCCAUUUAUUUACAUUUAAGGUCAGCAUACAAAAUACAUCCAAAGAAAUUUGGCUAAUAGCCUAAACACAUAACCUCAUCAAAUAUGUUAGUCUUGUAUUUCAUACGAAUCCCAAGAAACAUGUAUAAGCUCAUCAAAUAUCAAAUUUUCAUGUGUUUCAUGUAUAUACAGGUAAUUAUUCAUUCCAAACUCAUAUUUUCUCAUGUCAGGAUUUUGCCCGUUGAAUCAUUUAAAAUGUCGAUGGAUACACGGGUAGUACACACAAAGUGUACAAAAUUGUAAUUCAUCAAUUCAUAUUCAAGAAUGCUCAUACGAGCACAUAAAUGGGAAGCUCUGUCGAGCCAUAUAACAGGAAGCUCAUGUGAGUCAAUAUCGAAAAGUUUAAGCGAGUCAAUAUCGGGAAGCUCCGGAGAGCCAUUAAUCGGGAAGCUCAUAAGAGCCAGUUAUCGGGAAGCUCCGAAGAGCCAAUUAUAGGGAAGCUCAUAAGAGUCAUAAUGAGAAGCUCACAAGAACCAUAUAAUAGGAAGUUUCAGAGAGCCAUAUAUCGGGAAGCUCAUAAGAGCUGCGGUGUGUUCACAACACAUGUAGGAUCACAACCAAUCGAGAUGCUCCGAAAAGCUAUUAACGGGAAGCUUGUGAGAGCCAUAUAUCGGGACGCUCAUAAGAGCUAUGGUGUGUCCGCAACACAUGUAGGAUCACAGCCAAUCAGGAACUCCGUAUCCAUCGAAUUUUAUUUAUUCAAACGAGACUUAAUACUUAUCAGUCAUUGUUGGUUAUGUGAUUAAUAAAUACACAUAAAAAUUUAUACAAAUUUCAUACAUGACAAUUACACCAUCCACAUACACAAAAUUCAAUUCAAACAUAUAGAUAUACAAUUUAGUUACACGAACUUACCUCGACAAAUGUUCGUGUACACAAAAGCUACUAAUCCGCUACUUUUUCUUUUCCUCGAUUUAAUUCCUUAUUUGAUCUAUCCGGAUCUAUAUGAAUGAAUUAACAUCAAUUUAAUACAAUUCAUAUUCAAUUCAAUCUAAUCCAAUUCACAUCUUAGGCAAAAUUACCAUUUUGCCCCUAUACUUUUGAUUAAUUAUAGUUUCGUCCCUAGGCUCGAAAAAUGAAAUUCAUGCAAUUUAAUCAUUGUUCCAAGCCUAACCAAUUUUCACAUGUAACAAUAGCAGCCCAUGUAUGUCAUAAAAUUCAAAAUUUUUCCAUGAAUUUUACAUCUUUUUAUCAUAAUUUCAUCAAAAUUCACUUAACAAAAGUUGUUUAUCUAUCAACAACCUUUCAUUUUCUACCAUAAAAAUUCAAAAUUAUACUAUAUUCAUCCAUGGAAAAACCCUAAUACUUUGAUAAUUUUACAAAUUAAUCCCCGAGAUAGCUAGAUUAAGCUAUUACGAUAUUGAAAAUAUAAAAAUUAUUAAAAACGGGAUAAGAAUACAUACCUAAUUAAGCCAAAAUAGUUUGCUUGAGCUCAACACCCAUAACUAGGGUUUUCAUGUCUUUAUUUGGGAAAGAUGAUGAAUAUAAUGAUAUAUUUUUAUUUAACUAGUUUAUCAUCUUUUAUUAUUUCAUCUUUCCAAUUUAAUCCUUUUCUUUUCUUAAGUUUCCAAUGACGAAUCAUCAUACUUAUCCACUAACUCCUAUAAAUGGUUUAUUUUCCAUAAAAAGACCUCAAAUUUUGAAUUCCAUAGCUAUUUGAUCCCUUUAGUUACUAGAAUUCAAUUUUUGCACUUUAUGCAAUUUGAUCCUUUGCAUCAAGUUUGACAUCUAAUCGGUAAAAUUUUCUUAACAAAAUUUUCAUACGAUAUUUCUAUCAUAAUGAAGACCAUGAAAUAAUGUAAAAAUAAAUUUUAACCAUGAAAUAAUAUAAAAAUAAAUUUUUCUUCCGAACUCAGAUUUGUGGUCUCAAAACCACUGUUCUGAUUUCACUGAAAACGGGCUGUUACAAAGCAUGUUUGUUUUUUUCUCAUACAAUUGAACCAACUAUGUUAAUACUUGAUAACAAAGUUCCUAAUUUGAGUGGUGAAAAUUAUAAGAAAUGGAAAGAUGUUGUUUUACAUCUUGGCUAUAUUAACUUUGAAUACACUCUCCGUAGAGUUGUUUCCAAUACUGAAGGGAGUACCCAAGUUGAGAUUGGUUUGUAUGAACAAUGGGAACGAUCCAACUAUUUAAGCAUGACAUUUAUCAAAUAUCACAUAAUAGACAAAAGCCGUGGGUCGAUACCGACUUGUGAGAAUAUCAAGGAAUAUAUGGAGGCCCUUGAUGCUAAAUUCGAGUAAUCCGAUAAGGCUUUAGGAAGCACCUUGCUGAGUAGAUUGGCAUCCAUGAAGCUUACUAAUAUCAAAAGGGUUCAUGAGCAUAUAAUGAAAAUGUGUGACAUUAGUGCUUAACUUAAGUCCUCAAAUAUGAACAUUACUGACAACUUCUUGGUGCAUUACAUCUUGAACUCUCUUUCAUCUUAUUAUGAUCAUUUUUAAGAUAUCUUAAAACACACAUAAGGCUAAAUUAUCAAUCAACGAACUUCUAACCAUAUGUGUUCAAGAGGAGUAGAGACUACUUCAGGAAUCUAGCAAGGUUACACAUCUAAUCACAGGAAAUUAUAAGGCCACUUCUAACAAAACUAAACAGUGGAAAGGCAAUGCCAAUUUGCAAAAAGUAGUAGCAAGGGAAACAAGGAUGAAUUCAAGUGUUUUUUCCAUAAAAAGAAGGGACACGUAAAAAAUGAUUGUCCUAAAUGUAAGGCAGUUGGAAAAAAAAAGUAAUCUCGUAUCUUUUGUAUGUUAUGAAUCCAAUAUGGUUACAGUUUCACAUAAUGGUUGGCAGAUUGAUUCUGGUUCUACAAUUAAUGUUUACAAUACCAUGCAGGAAUUUCUCAAUCUAAGGAAACUGAUAGGAAAUGAGUGCAACAUCUAUUUAAGUAGUAAGAUGCCAUCAUAUGUGGAGGACAUUGGGACUUAUCAAUAAUUACUAAGUAUUAGUUUAUUUUUAAUUUAGAACAAAAAUUUUAUAUUCUUAGUUUUUCAAGGAAUUUAAUUUUAGUUUCAAGACUUUUACCAUUUAGAUAUAUUUUCAACUUUUGGGAUGGUUUUUUUAAUUUAAUAAAGGACAUUUUUUGUUUUGGUACAAUGCUUGAAGGAUUGUUCAAAAUUAUUUUUAAACGAUGGAAGUGCCAUAUUGGUUAAUGACUUCACAUAUCGGUGUUGAUAAUAAAUGUUUUGUUAUAGAUGAAAACUUAUCUCUUUUAUGACAUCAAAUAUUAGGAAACAUGUCCAUUAAGAGAUUCAAAAUAUUGGUAAAUGAAGAGGUUCUUCAAACUCUUGACUUUAUAAAUUUUGAUAUUUGUGUAGACUACAUCAAAGGAAAGCAAACUAACAAAAAUAAGAAAAUGCUAGGAGUUCUGAAAUUUUAGAAAUCAUACAUACGAACAUUUGUUGCCCUAAUAUAGAUGUUAGUGAUUAAAAGUAUUUCAUUACCUUUAUUGAUGAUCAUUUGCAAUACAUGUAUCUCUAAUUUCUCCAUCACAAAAGUGAGGCAUUAGUUGCCUUUAAGGCAUGCAAAACAUUAGUAGAGAAACAAUGUAAAAACCAAACUAAGAUUAUGAGAUCAAACUAACAAGAACAAGAAAUAUGCUAAAAGGAGUUCUAGAAUUUUAGACAUCUUACACACAGACAUUUGUAACCUUAAUAUAUAUGCUAGUGGUAAAAAAUAUUUCAUCACCUUUAUUGAUGAUCUUUCUCGAUACAUGUAUCUCUACUUGCUUCAUCAUAAAACUAAUUCAUUAGAUGCUUUUAAGGUAUACAAAGCAUAAGUAGAGAAACAAUGCAAAAAGCAAACUAAGAUUAUGAGAUUAGACUAACAAGAAUAAAAAAAAUAUGCUAAAAGGAGUUCUGUAAUUUUAGAAACCAUACACGCAGACAUAACAAGAAUAAGAAAUAUGCUAAAAGGAGUUCUGUAAUUUUAGAAAUCAUACACACGGACAUUUCUUUCAUCGAUGUGGAUCCUAGUAGUUAAAAGUGUUUCAUUACUUUUAUUGAUGAUCUUUCACAACACAUGUAUCUUUACUUACUUCAUCAUAAAAGUGAGGUGUAAGAUGCCUUUAAGGUAUACAAAGAAAAAAGUAGAGAAAAAUGCAAAAAGUAAAUUACGAUCAUGAGAUCAAAUGUAAGUGAUAAAUUUUUUUGGUAGGUACACUGGUAUAGGACAAGAAAUGGGACCAUUUGUUUAUGGCUCAAUACAACUUGCCUAGCAUACCAUUAAAGAAAGGUGGUGUUGAAUGAAGAAAUAAACGCUAAUGAGGAUAGUAAAGGGUAUACUUAGUAACACUAAGCUACCUCAUUCUUUAUGGAUUGAAGCUUCUAAAACAUUAGUGUAUAUCUUAAACCAAGUUCCAAUUAAGACAGUUCUUAAAAUUCCAUUUCAGAUAUGAAAUGGUUGGAAAUCGAGCUUAAUACAUUUAUGUGUUUGGGGUUGUUCAGCUAAAGUAAGAGUUUAUAAUCCACAAGAAAAGAAAUUAGAUCUCAAAAUCAUGAGUUUCUAUUACAUUAGAUAUGUAUACAAAUAUAAAGGAUACAAGUUCUAUUAUCCUAACCAUUCUAGUAGGAUCAUUGAAUCAAUGAAUGUUAAAUUUCUUGAUAAGGAUGUGUUUAGUGGGAAUGAUUCCAUUAGAGACCAAAGUAGGUUAAUACAUAAAGAAUCGGUCUUGAGAUAAAUGGUAAAACUCCUAAAUCAAGUAAACAGUUGGUUGUUUUUCCUAAUAGCUAGGACAAACAUUAAAGAACCAAUUGUUCAACAUGCACAUCUUGUUGUGAUAGCUUUAGAGGAACAACAAUUAGUUGAACCUCCACAAAAGUAACAAUUCUACAACAACCUUCAUAAGAGAUCGUUGAUGUUGGUUUAAAAAGAUCUUCUAGAGUGAAAAAUUGACAAUUCCUAUUGAUUAUGUGGUGUAUGCUACAUGAAUCCGACUACAACAUUAGUGUUGAAGAUGACCUGGACACAUUUUCACAAGCCACAGAAAGUACUAUAUCUAAAUGUGGUAUGAUACUAUAAAUGAUGAGAUGAAAUAUAUGCCAAAUAAUCAAGUUUAUGACCUUGUUGAGUUGUCUCAAGGGGAAAAAACUCAUUGGCUCUAAAUGGAUAUUUAAACCAAGAGGUGUUUAUUAAUCAACAUUGAAAGAUACAAUUCUAGACUUGUUACUAAAGAAUUCACUCAAAAAAAAAGGAUUGAUUAUAAGGAAGAUAAUUUAUUGUUUCCAAGAAAGACUCCUUUUGUAUCAUCAUGCCAUUAGUUGCUCAUUUUGACUUCAAUUUGCAUCAAAUAGAUGUGAAAAUAGCCUUCCUCAAUAAGGAUUUAUAGGAAAAGGUUUAUAUGAAACAACUUGAUGGGUUCAUCUCAAGUGUUGGUGAGAAUUUGGUCUACAAACUUAAUAGGUCUAUUUAGAGACUUAAGCAUGCCUCUCAUCAUUGUAUUUAAAAGUCCAUAAGGUUAUCUCUUCAUUUGGUUUUGUAAAGACUAUUAUGGAUCAAUGUAUAUACUAUAAGGUCAUUGAGGGCAAAAUCAUCUCUUCUAUUACAUGUAGAUAAUAUUAUGCUUAAACCAAUGAUUUGAUUUUGCUACAUGAAGUGAACCAAUUUCUCUCUCAGAACUUUAGUAUGAAAAAUAUGGGUGAGGAAUCUCAUGUCAUUGCAUUAAGAUCCGUAGGGAAAUAUCUUAGCACAUGUUAAGAUUACCAAAAGAAACUUAUAUUAAUAAAAUUCUUGAAAGAUUUUGAAUGAAAGAUUAUUCAACAAGUGUUGCACCCAUUGUUAAAGGUGAUAAGUUCAAUUUGAACCAAUGUACGAAACUCAAAAUUGAGAAGGAAACAAAUGAACAAUAUCUCAAGUGCUUCAGAUGUUGUACUCCUGACGUAUGACUAAGUUUGUACCAGACCUAGCAUUGCAUUUCCAAUGUGAAUGUUAGAAAGAUAUUAAAGUAAUCAUGGGAUAGAAAAUUGGAGAGCUGCAAAGAAAGUGAUGAGAUAUCUUCAACUAACUAAAAAUUACAUUGUUACAUGUCAGUAAUCUUACAUUUUAGAAGUUGUCGGAUAUUCAAACAGAUUUUGUCAAUUGCAUUGAUUCUCGGAAAUCAACAUCAAUAUAUGUUUUAAUGUUUUUCGAUGGAGUCAUAUCUUUGAGAAGGGUCAAACAAACACUAGUGACUACUUCUACUAUAGAGACUAAAUUUGUUUAGUGUUUUGAAGCUAACUUACAAGGUAAUUGGUUGAGAAACUUCAUUACAUGUUUUAGAGUUGUUAAGCCUAUAUCUAGGCCCAUACAAAUAUAUUGUGAAAAUAUGGAAAUGAUGUUCUUUUCUAAGAACAACAAAAGUCGAAAUCAAAAUAAACACAUCAACAUUAAGUACUUAGUAACCAGGGAGCAUACUAAAGUCCAUCGAAAUGCUCAUUGAACAUAAAUUCAAAGCUGAUAAUUGUUGAUCCUCUAGCAAAAGGCAUAUGCCACCAAAGUUUUUCACGGGUUAUGUCUUUGAGAUAGGAUUAUCCUAAAACUGUCACUGUGAGGUAUUAUUUAGUUUAGUUUUCUCAUUCUAGUUAUGCACAUUGAGUAAGGUUCUAAAUGAUAGCAUGUACCACCCAUUUCAUUUAUUGUGUUGGCUUUGUUGUUUAUAUAUAUAAGGAAAAUAUCUUUCUUAGAAUAAGGUUUUCCAUCUUAAUUCCAUGUUAAAUUCGAAAUCAUUGAUCUGUUGUAUCCAUAUGGAUAAUAAAAUUAAAACAUUUCCAAGUUAAUAAAAUCUAGAAUUUUUUUUUUAUUUGAACUAUUUUUAAAAUGUUUUGUCUGAGAAAUAUGAUCAUAAUUAAAUUUUUAAUUGCUUAAAUUCGUAUAGUUUAAUCAGUUACAUAGUUUUAUCAAAUGUUUACUUACAUUUAAUAUUCAUUUUCUUAGCGCAACUAACCAAUUAAAUUAACCGAAUCAAAAAUAAAUGUAUAAUGUAAAAUUUAGUUCUUACUAUGUAAAUCUUUUUAUCAAAUUUUGUUCUUAUACUUUUGUUGAGCUAAAUUUAACUUUUAAUUUUUUAAAAAGAGUCAACAUUGUAAGAAAAGAGUUGGAAUGAGAUUUUUUUAAUCAAAAUACUAAUUAAACUAUUAAGUUUUUAACAUGCAUGACAAUCCAUGUGUAUUUAUGUUUUUUUUUAAUUUUUUUAUAGUUUUAAAUUAUUUGUUGACAUGACAUAUAAAAUAAACAAAGUUAUAUCAGCUUGAAGUGCAUGUGAACUAUCAUACGAUUACCAAGCCGUUUUAAUCAACAUUUUCAUUAAAAAAAGUGAUCUGAAUUUUUUUUGAAAAGUUAACAAUUAAAUUUAAUUUAAAAAAAAAAGAAAAGAAAAGUAGGGUUUUAUCUUUGUAAUAUUAAGACAAGAAAAGUUAUACUUGCUAUCCAAUUAUUACAAGUUUGGAAAAGGUUGAAGCAAAAAACAAGUCUGAGUAAGCAAAGAGAUAAUUGAGUGGCCUUAUCUUUUCCAACAUCCCAUAAUCUCAAAACAAUAUUUCUUUUAAGAAAAAAAAACACCAAUAAGAUUUUGGUAGUAUUAUUCGUGAAUGUUGAAGAUAGAUGCAGGACCUUUAACGUCUACAAUCGAGUUUUACCAUGUAAAAAAUAUGUAUACUUUUUUUUUAAAAAAUUAUUUAAUUUUUAUUAUAUUUAAUUUUUUUAUAUUCAUUAAGUCCGUUUUACGGUUCAUAUUCGAGGUUUGUGGUUGUUCCUCUCAACAAUGUCGUAUCUAAGGUUCAAACCUGGGUUCUCUCCUUGAGAGUGUAAUGUAUCUUACCAUUACACUGUCGGUAUUAUAUAUUUAAUUUAAUGUCCUUUGUAAUACUAUCAUAAUUGAUGCAGUAUCACUCUUGUCCACGAUUUAUUUAUGCAACUGAAGGAUGAUAUUGGUUCAGUUCCAUUAGAUCUUUUAGAUUUUUUGAACUGUCAAUCUUAAUUCAAUUCGAAUCUCGAUUUUUCUAUAUUAAUUUUUGGUUUUGGAUUUUUAAAGUAAUUUUAAGAAAAUGAGUUUUUGUUUUAUAACUUCGACAAAAUUUUAAAGUCUUAUUCAUAAAUAUUUCUAAAAAUAAUAAUAAUUAUUCAAGAAUUUUUAAACUAUUUUCACUAUUUUAAAUAUAAAAUAAUUAUUUUAUAUCAUAAAAAUUAAAAUUAAUUAAUAUUAAAUAAAAAAUAGAAUUCUGCUCAAUUUCAAACAAUCACAAUUUUUAAACUUACAUUUUAUAAAUAAUUCAAACACUCAAUUCGGUCUCACUCAACCGUAAUGCAACUAUUAUUUAGUGGUGAAAUCACUGCUGUAAACACUCCUUCAACAUGCAAAAGCUACGAGGAUCCAGACUAGACGCCAUUUUUUAAGCACAAUCCUAAUGCAUGCUCUAUUGGCAACAAAUAUUGGGAUAAGCUACAAAACUUGGGAGUCUUUCAUCCCAUCCAAUUACGAAUUAGGAGUUAAAUUGUAAACUUUUGUUUUAAAUUUUGAUUACCCACCAAUUUCAAGGCAAUCAACAUCCUAUUUUGGACGUCAAAAUUCAAGAUUGGAAUCAUUUUCGGACUUAAAAGAAUUUAUGUACUUUACUUGAAUAAACCAUAGUUUAUUUUAUUAAAAAACAUAUGAUUGUGAAUUAACUUUAUUAAUAACAUAAGCAUAGAUUAUUACCAUCAUUGGUAAUUCGAUUCGACUCAAAAAAUUCAAAAAAAAAAUUCAGAAUUCGAGUUUAAAUUGUAUUAAAUUUUUGAAUUCGAAUAAUUCGAAUAAUUCAAACAAAUUAAAUAUCAAAUCAUUUUACUUUCCUUACCCCAAUUUUUUUUUCCUUUUUACUUUUUCCAAGCCCCCAAAACAUUUUUGUUUUUGCUUUCCCCCAAAUCUUUUACUUUUUCCCAAACCCCAAUUUUUUUUUUCUUUCAAAUUUAUGUCUACUAUUUAUAUUAUUGAAUUGUUUAAUCAUGCUGGACAUUUAUCAAUUUCUAUUAAAAUUGAAUUAUUGAUGAUGCCAUAAAAUAUUCGUGUUAAAAUAUUCUGUUGGUAUCCAUUUCACAUUUUAUCUUUAAAAUAAAUUUUAUUAAAAAAUCACAUUUUUUACAUUUAAUAUAUUUUUAAUUUCAAAAUACAUUGUCAAAAAAUUCAUAAAAUAAUUAGAUAAUUGAAGCAACUAAGUAAUCAAAGAAGCUAACCCGUAUAUAAAAGAUUAAUAAAUAAAUUAUGAGGGGAUGAAAGUUAAUAACAAAUUUGAUUACGGUGGGUGACAGUGACUAUAAAGACCCAAAGUUAUUUUUUAAUUUAACUCAAACAAAUAUAUUCAAUUCGAGUUCCAUAUCACUUGACUUGAUUCGAAAAAAUUCCAAAUCGAGUUAGAAUAAUAAAAUAAAAUUCUUCAACUCAAUUAACUCAAAAUAUUUUUAUUCGAUUCGAUCAAAUGACCACCCUUAAUUCACACUCCAAUCUAUUAGGAUUUUCACGUUAAAGGGUUGGUUAGAAUCCCAUAAUUUAGAUUCAUUAAAAUUCAAAGAAAGCAUGGUCUCUUUUUUCACCCGUUUCGAGAACAUAAAGAAACCUAAGUAUUUUCCCAAGAGGUUAGUGGCUUUGAAUUUUAGGCAGUUCAAUACUCACUCGUUUUGAGUAGGUGAUUUAUUGGGUGAAAAUAAAAUUCUCCAUUUGCUAUGGCUGGUUUUUUUAUUUAACUCCUCAACCAACAAAUCCAGAACAGACUGGAUAGUUGAACUGGGUUGGUGAUUCGUCUUCAAAAAAAUGACAUCAUCAAUGAAGAAUAUAUGACAUAUUUGGGCCUUGAUGUGAGGUGCAGAGAUGUUUCCAUUUCUUAGUAUCGACUCUUGGGAGAACUCAAGGUUAAAGAAUUCCAUACAAAGGAUGAAGAUGUACGUGGAAAAGGGAUUGCUUUGUCUUAUUCCUCGUGAAAGUUUGAACUCCUAAGUUUUUCUCCUUUAACCACUAAUUAGAGUUCCUAAGAUGAUAUAAUUGUUGGAAGUUUCCAUGUAUUUUAAAGAUUUAGACAUAUCUCACAUAUAACACCCUAAAUCCAGUCUAGACGAUAUUACUAAGUAUAGAGAGCUAUAUCAACUCUUUCUGAAAAAAUCCAACCUUUAAUAAUUAGUGUUCAAACAACCCAAGACAUUUAAAAGUUUACAAUCAAAAUACAAAACCCAACAUUUAAAGUCCACAAACCCAGUAAGAUGAUAACAACGUAAAACCAAAUAACAUAACAAGUUAAUUAAAUUAUAUGAUUGAGCUCCUGAAACGUCGACCCGAUCAACUCUAAGGAUUACCUGAAAUUCGAGUAACAGUCGAAAUGAGUUAUAUACUCAAUGUGUAACUUAUGGACUAAUUAAGUAAAACAGUCUCGAUCUUACUUUCAGAUCUUAUUUAGUCGAAUAUCAUAAUCAAAAACGAAUACAGAACAUAUCAGAUACAGUUACAGAUACAGAACAUAUUAGAUACAGUUACAAAUUCAGAUACAAAUGCAGAGUCCUACCCCCAUCUGCUACACCAUCUCUAACCACCCCUCCACACCAAAUAGGGUAUCAAAUACUCAUUCAUCCCUACACAUCGCAUAGUGUCUAUAUGUCACAUUCAGAACAUUACAGGCUAGUUGCCAGAUCGAAUGUGAUAACUCGCUAGAAUCAGAUAUGUAUAUAUGGCUUAGCCACUAGAAUCAGCAGAUAAUUAAACUGCCCACACUUACUCCUUUAUCACAAAUUCCAUCCCAAUGCAGAUGCAUGAUUAAUAGAUAUCAAACAUGCAUAUACAGUGGUAUAGAUCCAGACAAUAUAGAACAUGCUUGCUCAUCAAAUAACACGACAAAUUUAUGUCCAUAUAAACAGAUUGUCCAGUAACAGGCCAUCAGACAAUAAGUUUUAUAGCCUAAUUCAGAUCUUACGGAAAGCUUACGUUUGAUUUAAAUGACAAUUACGGCCUUAGAAAAAAAUUUUAUUUUUGACCUACACGCCUGCGUGGAUUCACACGGCCUAGAUGGUUGGCUCGUGUAGUUUACACGACCUAGCACACGCUCAUGUGGUCUAGCUCAUUAAUACAUAAGGUUUUGUUACUCAAAUUCCCAAAACAGUGAGUUACAUGGCCUGGACACACGCCCAUGUCUCUAGCCCGUGUGACCCUAAUUCACAAACAGUGAGUUACACGGCCUGGACACACACUUGUGUCUCUAGCCUGUGUAAUCCUAAAUUCAAAAUAGUGAGUUACACAGCUUGCCACACAGCCGUGUGGCUCACACGACUUGGAACACGGUCAUGUGGCGUCAACAACCAUGUUUUUCAGCCUCUGUCCUUCGUAAAAUUCUGAGUUUCCGUUACGCCCCUGACACUAUUUCGACGGGGAAGCAAUCAGGACAAAUCCAAAACUAAAAACAACAUUCCAAAGACCAAAUAAACCAUUAUUCUCCAACCAAUUGCCAGAAUUAGACUCCAAACCAAGUUAUGUCGAAAAGCUUCAAUGCAAACCUCUAACACGAAAGGUCAACACUUACCUUCGUACAACGCAGAAAGUAAUAGACUUAAAGCAUUGGAGAAAAUUUAGCCUCGAGACCUUCGCCGAAAAGAAGACCAAGCAGAAAACACGAUUCCAACAAAAUCAAUAAACGUUAACAAAAUUUAACAAUACAACUUACGUAUUUAACCUUCCGGUCGAAAUACUAUAAGACACACGACUUCCUCAACAAAACCACAACAAAUUUUAACAAAAAAAAACUCAAAACGAUCAACAAAGAAGAAUCGCAACAAGCAAAAAAUGUGGAAAGAACACUAAAGAGGGAAAGUAGAAGUAAUCAAUUUUUUUUUAAAAAGUAACUUCACUUAACAGAGUGAUACUGAAAAUAUAUCCCUCUUUCAUUCACACAAAGACUUGAACGUAGGACUAAAGAAAAUAUAGAAGCUUAACCAGUGAACUAGCAAGCUCAUUCUUUAGUCAAACUUACAUAGAAUUAAACAUAAGCCACAAUUGCAAGGCUAAGGGUUAAGUCAAAAAAAAUAGGAAAUUUCUCCAAAAUUGGGAUUCAAACCCUUAAUCUCAAACAUACAACUAAUGAACUAAACCAUUGAAGCAGAUGCUGAAUUCAUGUCAAGAAUUGACAGAUAAGUAUUCAAAUUUUUGGGGAGUUACACCACAUCCUUUAGAUACACCUAUUAAAUGAUGUUUAUAUAGUGUUUUUACUAUGGACUUAUAAGAUCCAAAAUAAGAGGAUGGGUACUCACGCUUUAAAUGAUGUUUAUAUAGUGUUUGCUCUUCCUUGUUCCUUGAUUUCCAAAGGGUAACAGAAGUGCUUGUUGAGUUCUGAGGGACAAUGGUAUUCACGCCUCAAGUAGCAACUCUAAUUUUCUAACAAUAACCCAUGAUCAAGUUUAUCUAUUCGGCAGGAAAGUUAAAACAAAAUGGACUCUACUAGUAAAACCUCACGGGAGUCUAUAUUAAGCUUUUUUCCAUAUUCAGUUUAAUGAUCAUGAUUCAUGUCUUACCUUUGAACUUUCAAAUUGAGUGGAGCACUUCUUGUACAAUAAUGGCAUUUCACCAUUCAGUGCCCUUUAAUGAAACUAUUUUCAAUUGGCGAGAUGAUCUUCUCAAGAAGCUAUCUAAGUCUAUGGACAAGAUUUUUGUAAUGACCAUAUAAAAGGUGUUAUUGAGACUCCCAUAUUGGCUCACUAAAAUAGGGGAGGGAGUUUUAGGGAUCAAUGAUAUAAGGAUUUCAUUUGUGCCAAUUAGGGUUUUCUAGGUACUAAAAACCUCAACCACCAUAUCAUAUACCUUUCUUUUAAUGGAACUUCAACAUCUUUGGUAAAAGAGGGAAUGAAGACCAUUUGGGCUGAAGGCUUUAAACGGUUUAAAGGAGAACAUUGCUAUUGCAAUCUCGCUCUCAAAAAUGGGAAAAUCAAUUUCUAUCUAUCUUGGGAUGACAAGAUUAUCCAAAGAAGGGUGGAGGGGGAUUUCUUUGUAUUCAAAAUAAUUUUUUUGAGUCAAACUAUUUUGAGAAAGUAUUUUGUAUGAUUACAUUUAUUCCCUCUUUCUCAGUAGUCUAUUAUUCUAUGUUAUCAUUAGGUCUUAAGAUUUUGUUUAAACUCUUCCUUUUAAGAGCAGUGGGAAGCAAAACCUUCGAGUUUUUUCAUGUCAAAUAACCAAUCUACUCUAGAUUUCUUAACCUAAAAAUCCUCUUCCUCCUUCAAGAUCUCUUGGUAUUCAUCCACGAAAGUCUUUUGGAGUUAAAGAAGGAAAUCACAACUUUUUAUUUCUAUAGCUCAUUCAGUUCCUGCAAGUUUAGCAAGAAUUUUACUUUUCUUAUGAAAGAAACUAUCAAACACUUCUUGAUUCCAUAUCUUGAGGAGAGAAGUGAGUUCCCCAAUGGGCUAGUGUAGAGUGGUUUACGAUUCAUUCCAAACCUGUAACGACCCGAUAGUCAGGGGUGUCGAAAAGUACAUUCUCAAGACUCUGUUCUUAUAAAUCAGACUCAUAAAUAUUUUUAAUAAAUAUUUACAAAACUAGUUGUGUAGUUAAUUAGGUUUCGGUUAAGCGAAUUUACUUGAAUUAAAAGUAAUUAGGUAUAAGGACUAAAUUGCAUAUAGGGUGAAAGUUUAAUUAUAGAUUAAAGAACAAUUAAAGGGCCAAUGUAGUAAUUAUACCUAUAUUAUAAUAAUUAAAGUUAAAAUAUGAAAUCCUAAUAAUUAAGUAAAUGUAUAUAUAUUAUAUAAUAAUAAUUAAAGUAUAAUAAAAUAAAAUAUGUAAAAAACAUACAAACUAAGAAAGAAAUAGAAAGAAAAAAAACGAGACACACGGCCAAGGGCUCCAAAUUUUCAAAGUUUAAUUGGUUAGUCAAUUUAGUCCUUUUUCUUGUAAUUUAUAUGUUUUUGGAAUCCCAGUACCUAGAGUAACCCAACCCAUGUCGAAAUUUUAGCAAUUAUUAAGUUUUUAAAUGUUGUUAAUGUUGAAUAAUUUUAGUAUUAGGGAUUAAAUUGAUAGAUUUUUAAGUUAGAAAUGGAAAAGGAUUAAAUUGUAGAACUAAUUGUAAAUUUUGAGUAAUAGGGACUAAAUUAUGAAAAAUUUGAAAUUUAGGGAUUCGAGUGAAAAUAGAGAGUUAAAUUUAGCUUAAAGGGAAAUUAGUAUGAAAAUAUAAAAUUAAAUGUGAAAAAUAAAAAUUAGUCUUGGUUUAGGGACUAAAUUAGAAUUUAGGCAAAUAUUGAGUAAAAAUUUAAAUAUUCAAUAUUUAAUAUGAAAUUGAAAUUUUAUUGUAUUGAUGACUUUUAAUUGUUUUAAUUCCAUAGCUAAUGUCGUAUCGGAAUCCUCGACUAAAAAGGAGAAAGAUAAAAUCGACGUUGAAUAGCUCGGAAUUCCUAGUUUGUAUUUCUAUAAUUCGAACUUAGUUGUUAAUUGUUAUAAUUCAAUUUAAUGCAUAUGGUAAGUGUUGAGGUGAGUAAUUGACAUUUGAUAAUUAAUUGAAAUGGAUUGAAUUGGUAGAUACAUAUUGAAUGUAUUGAUUAUUGAAUUGAAAUGUAUAUAUAUGUGAUUAUAUGAAAAAUUAGUAUUGGAUAUUGGUUAUAUCUAAAAUGUGAAAUUAAACUCUAUCAACUGUAUCAGGCUGAGUCGGAUAUAGAUGGCAUGCCAUAGGAUAGGAAGAGUUCAAGGAUUUCUUCGACUUUGAGUCGAUGAGGCACUGGGUGCCAAUUUACUUUGGUUUAACCAAUGAGACAUUGGGUGUCAAAUGUAUAUAGCGCUGGGCGCAUAUUACUUUAAAUUUAUCCGAUGAGGCAUUGGGUGCCAAACUGGUGUGUUGGUUGGAUCCGUGUAUCCGUCCUAGUCGUGUUAAUAGGGGUAAUUAAAUAAAACAGUACUAUGAUUGAUAUUGGAUGAUAUUGUAUGUGAAUUGAAAAUGAGAUAGUGAUUUGAAACAUGAAAAUGAGAUACAUGAGUUAUGUACUCAUGAAUUGGAUAUGGAAUGGCUAAUGUCAUUAUUUAAAUGAUAUGUAGAUCAAAUUGUGAAAAGCUAUUAUAUAACAAGUGAUGAGAAUUGAGUAUGGCAUGAGAUGAUGUAUUCAUAAGUUGAGUAUUGAAUGGCUAAUGCCAUUGUACAAAUAAAUAUGGUUUGAUAUGUGAAUAACUAUUUAUAUAGCAAUUGUGUGAAUUGGGACAUUGUUUAACAAAUGAAAUAUGAUAACAUAUGAUAGUCAUGAUACUAGACCUUAAUAUGUGCUUAAAAUUCAAUUGUGCAUAUUAUAUUAUCUUGCCUUUAAAUAUUCGGAUUAUAGAAAUACCACUGAGCUUUACUCAACGCACAGUUUUGUUUUUCCGUGCACAGAUUAGGUACUUCACUUUUGAUUGUCAAUUCAGCAUCCAACAACGAUCCCGAACUCAAAUGUGAUGAUGUUUAUCUUUUGUGUUGGCAUGUACCUAGGAUGUCUAAAUGAUAGUUAUUUUGUGGAUGGAUUGUAAAUGAAAUUGUAAGUGUUAGGUUGGUUUGGUAUAUACAUAUAAACAUGUGUUUGUGUUUGAAGCCAUAUUAUGGCACGGUAAAUUGAACCAAAUUUAGAUAUUUGCAUGUGAAUUUAAGUUGAUGUUUAAGUGCUUAUUAACUAGGCAAAAUGGAUUGAAUUUGGUAUGUUUGUAAUUUGGAUUUGAAUGAUGCUUAGAUGAUAUGAAUUGAUGAUAUAAACGUGGUACCAAUGAGGGUACAUUGGUUAGGCACUUAGAAUGAUUGUUUUGACAUGUUUUGAAUCUGUUUGAUCGUGUUUUGAACUGGUUAAAAGAAUGGUUUUUGAGUUGUUUAAUGUCCAAGCUUGUAGGGAAUGGUAAAUUUGUUGUUUAAGGCACAUUUUAGGCCCACACGGCCAGACACACGGGUGUGUAACUUGAUCGUGCGAGACACACAGGUAGUAUAUGGGCGUGCGAGGCCAUUUCAAAGAGUACACAGCCUGGCACAUGGGCGUGUGGCUUGGCCGUGUGACCCAAGUCAGAGAGUUACACAGUCGUGUGUCCCUACUUCAAAUGCCCACACAGCUAGACACACGGACGUGGGACUUAGCCAUGUGAGUCACACAACCUGACCACACGGCCCUGUGAACCCUACAGUUAAAAACUUUCUAAUUUUUUUCUAAAAAUUUUCAAAUACUCCCGAUUUAGUCUCAAAUCGUUUCUAAAGUGUUUUCAAACUCUCAAAGGCUUAUUAAGGGACUCUAUGCAUGUUAAUUUUGAAUCAUUACAUUAUUUUUGAAAUGUUUGAAAUGAAUUAUUAGAUUAUGAUUCUCAGUAAUGCUCUGAAACCCUAUUCCAAUGACGGAUAUGGGUUAGAGGUGUUACAAAGCUAAUUGAAAGAUUUUUUCAAAGUCAAGGUGGUCUAGCCACAUUUUUUGAAACCUAUAAGGUUAACUUUUGGUUUGGUCUAUGUUUGGAUUAGAAAAAAAAAACUAAGGAAAUCUAAGUAAAAUGAAGGGGAGGAAUCAUCUUUCCUUUAUUUGAAAAUUCUUUUAUUAAGGUAGGGAAAGUAAAGGGAGUUAAGAAUCCUUCACUGUCCCUUGUUUUACUUUAUUUUUAAAUACCCCAAUUUGAGGUAAACUGAGAGGAUAGGAAAUGUUGUCAAUUUUAAAAUAUGUAAAAUAUCAUUUUUAUCAUUCUAAAAAUAUUACUAUUAUAUAUUGUUGUCUUCAGGAAUUAUCAGCAUUCUUUGGAAUAAUUACCACCAUUCUUCGAAAUAUAUUCACUUAUAAAAAUAAUCUCUUAUUUAAUGCAGCACACCUUAACCCGUAGGACUUGGUGCAAGGUAAAAAAUAUAUAAGCACAAACAUAGACUUUUAAUGGAGCUAAAGUUGGUAAAGAUUACUAAUGUUAUUCCUACCCAAUAGAGGCUGGUAGAAAGUUUAGUUUUACAUUGCUCGUGCAGAAAGUUCUCAAAGCAUGCUAGUUGCUUGUAGGAGAGUAACUAUAUAUAGAUUGUUUAUUUAUGUUUUAAUGUGGAAUUUUUUUUUCAUAUAAAAGAAACCAUUUUUGUCAAAGUAGAGAUCAAACAUAAAGAUCAAUCACCAUAUUUUCAUCACCAUAAAUCGAUAGUCCAACCAUUUUUCCAAUUUCUAACAUCUCACCCAUCUCUAUUUAAAAGAGAAAAUUAGUCACCAAUUUACAAGCUUUCUUACCUAACAUUUUAUGUCGUAACCCUCUAUUUUUAAAAGUUGUAACAACUGUAUUUUAUUAUUUAUCUAUUUUAUAUUAAUUAGGAGUCUUUAAUUUUCAAAUUUGUUUGAUAUACAUUGCUUGGAUUAUUAACUCAAUUUUUUAAGUUAGAAUUCAAAAAGUAACAACCUUAUAUUUAUAUAGAGACUGAUGUCUCAAUUUUUUUAAAAACUCUUUUCUUUUAUUAAAAUUAUCUCUACCGUAUCAUUAAAUGUGGGGUAAAUUACUUCGUUAGCCACUCAAAAUAGCGGUUAUUCCUAUUUUGGUUACCCUGAAAUGGUUUUUGUUAAUUUGACACUACCACUACAAAAAUUGACCAAACUGGUCACUCUACGGUUAAAUCUAUUUCUUCCACCAUUAAGCCUAUUUUUUGUUCCUUUUUCCAUUUUUUUUUCUUUUUUUUCUUUUCUCCCUUAUUCCUUUUUUUGUUUUUCCUUCUCUCCUCCCAUUUUCAUCAUCUUCUUCCUUACACUACUCUUCCUUGACAACUACACUUUCACAACGCCACUAGUUAGAAUAGCCACCAAACAAUCCACAUUUACUUUUUCUUUCAAUCUAAUAGUUCAAAGCUUCUCAAAACCCACUAGAAAACCACGAAAAUACCAAGUCAAUUUUGAACUUCCCUUGUCUCAAUUUACCACCUUCGUUGUUUGAUUGCUGAUCGCUUAUAAACAUGUUAUUGUUUAUAGUUAAAUAUAACACCAAAAUUUAAGAUAUAAGAACGGCGGUGUUCACAAGUGCACGAGUCAAAUUGUAAUAUGGUUUGUAUAAUGAAAUACUUUGGAAGUAUUCUGAGGAUCGUACCCAAGGGAGGAUGGAAUAAAUAAUGAAAACAUUUUUACAAUAACAAGUCUAAAUAGUAGUAAUUAAUCCCUAUAUUACGAUAAACCAUAAAAUAAAUUGAAGAGAUAAAAAGAAAUAAAUAAAGAAAAAUAAACAAACAAAAUAAAUCAAUAAACCAAUCAGUAAUAUUUACUUGCUUUAGGGUUUGUAACUAACUUUGGAUUAGGGUUUUAGGGUGAAUUAACUAUCGAUUAACCAAUAAUUACCUCUCGACCUAUAAUUAACUAAUCGAUUGGUUGAUACUUGCCUAUCUCCUGACCUCACUUUCUCAACUAGGAUAAAUUACGAUUUACUCGGUUUGAAUUAUCUCCCAACCUUAUUGAGCCUAUGAUAACUUCCUAAGGUUUUCAAUCCUAACAGUUUAAGCACACAUAAUUCAUAACAAUUAAUCCCUCUCAAGAAACCCUAAAUCCUCCAUUAAUCAUAUCUCAUCCACUCUUUAAUCUCCCUUAAGGGAUUUAGCCACUCAUAUUAUUCAUAAUCUCUAUCUUGAUUGAAUAAAUCAUGUAAAGAACACGAUCAAUUGGGAAGACAAAAUAGAAUUAAAAAAUCAUGGAUUGAAUAUCGAAUCUAGAACGGAGUAGUAAAUGUCUUGAUUGGAAUAAAGAAUUAAAUUGAAUGCAAAAAGAAAUAUAAACUGAAGACUUUGAUAAUAUAAAUAAACUCUUGAAUCAAAAUUGAUUUCAAAAAGAAAACAAAAAAGUAUUGAAAAAUUGAAAAGAAAAUAAUCUAAUCAUGCUCCUAAACUACUAUGGUUUUUGAAGGCGUCUCGGAUGACUUAGUUACAUCAAACCCCUAAUGUCUUAUUUAUAGAUGUGUUGGCAGUCCAAAUUAGGUCUUUAUAUAAGUUUGAUUGCGCGGACAAACAUAACCCUGAUAAAAUUAUGCAACAGGUCGACAUGUGUCGCGCCAUACCCCUUGCGUGGUGCGACACAACACCCAAAUCUUACCUAAUGUCGUUCGUUUGGUGCUUUGAUUUCCUGAGAAGCUUGGGUAUCACUCAACCCUUACUUCCAUGUCAAUUGGGUCUUUAUAUCUUCAUCCUACACACUCAAUUAAACAAAUUAGCACAACCUAGGGCCUGUGUUGGCUUAUUAGGUCAUAACACCUGCAAAAUGUGUUAAAAAACACUUAUUUUAUUAAUUUUCUAUCCUAAAGCCUAAAUACUGAUGUAAGAGGCCCAAUUUUCCCGGGCCUAAAAUCACAAAGAAAUAAAAACCAAAAAAAUAAUUAAAUGUCCAAAAAGUCCAAUUACAAAAACAAGCCCAGAUUCCAUUACCCUAAUUACAAAUCAGCUAAAUCUAACCCGAACGGCCCAAAUCCCUAGCCCGUUUCCAGAAACCCAGCCCAGUUGCAUUGAAGCCCAAAACAAAAAACACAAGCAGAAACCCUAGGGCAUCUGCAAACUCCAGCCGCCGCAUGUGGAAACCAGUUUCGUCUGCGCGCGUGUGCUAGCAGUCACUGUCCCUCCGCACGCACCAGGCGCAUCCUCCCUCCAGGCUGGCUGAGCACCAUACACCUACAACACAAACGAAAAACGAACGCAAUGCACACAGCAACAAACAACAAAAGCAGAAUAGCAGAGAAAAAGGGGAUUUUUAGAAAAAAAUUCUUGUAAAAGCUUGAUUUAUUCCCGGCUAUACAAAAGCUAUUUUGGAAUUUGUAAAAAGGGGGGAUCCUUUUUUUACGCAUUCAAUAUAAAAAUUGAGAAUACAGAGAAAAAAAAGCAGAGAAAGGUGAUUUUCGGGAGUUUUUUGUUCUUUUCUAUUUUUCUUCGCUGGUUGCUUGAUUUUUUUUGGUUGCUUUCUUUUGCUAGUUUUUUAGAUUCAUCAAUCGUUUUAUAAAAGAGAAACAAAAAAGAAAGGGGGAAGUUAGAACUCGUACCUGGCUGUGCGACCUUGGCUCUCUCUCCGUCGUCAUCGGAGUCUGGGGCAAGGUUCGGGGAGCCUUCGAAGAAGGCGAUGAACCGUCGUGCGGCGCAGAGGGAGAGUGUUUAGUUUUUUGUUAUUUUUUUUCUUUUUCUUUCUUUCAAAUGGCAGAUUAGAUUAGUUUAGGGUUUUUCUUAUUUUUGGGUGGAUUAUCAAAACGGCGCCGUUUAGCAGCCUUUGACCCGCGUGGUGACCCGACUCGAGGGGAGGAUCCGCGCGUUUUGGGUCUGAGGGGCUAUUUGCGCACUUAAUCCCUCCGCAUUUUGUUUUCCUUUCAAUUUGAUUUUUCUUAAGUUUUUAAUUUAUACGUUAUAUUUGAUUCGGAUUUCAAUUAAGUACAGUUUGGAAAGGUGUCGUUUCACGUGAUUGGCAUUGAAUAUCCAAUUUUAUGUUUAAUUACUGAUUUGGUCCUCCCAUUUUGUUUUACUUUCGAUUCUACCCCGAAUAUUUGUCUUUGAGUUCAAAUUAGUCCUUUAUUUUGUUAUUUUGCUAUUUUAUUAAUUAACUUAGUUUUUUAAUUCAUUUAUUUAUUUCUUAUUUUUACAUUAUCAUAUUAUGCUAUGAUUUUUACAUUGUUAUUAUUAUCAUAUUUCUAUUUUAUUUGUUUAUCUAAGUUUAAAUAUCUUGUAAUCCCUUUUAUUAUUAUUAUUUAUCCAUUUAUACCAUUUUUUAGAUUUUGUUAUAUAUAUAUAUAUAUAUACAUGCAUACUAACAUAUAUAUAGGUUUUUAAUUUUUACAUAUAUGUACGUACUUAUUGCUUUAUAAUAUACAUAUACAUACAUUUUUUUAACAUGCGUACACGCAUAAUUUUUCAAAUUUAUAUACAUGUACAUAAAUACCUACCUUUAUAUUUUUAUAUGUUUUAUAACUUUAUACGUAUAUAUAUGUAUACAUAUAUACUCAUUUUUUUUAUAAUUUAUAUAUACAUAUAUUUAUACCUAUAUACAUAUUUGCUAAAUUUUUGUAAGUAUAUAUUUAUAUGUACGUACUUAUAUAUUUUUUUUAUACUUUCUAAUUUGUAUAUAUAUUUACACCCAUAUUUGUAAUUUAAUUUAAACAUAUAUAAAUUAUAAUCAUUUACUUGUUUAUAUAUCUUAAACUUUGANNNNNNNNNNNNNNNNNNNNNNNNNNNNNNNNNNNNNNNNNNNNNNNNNNNNNNNNNNNNNNNNNNNNNNNNNNNNNNNNNNNNNNNNNNNNNNNNNNNNAUUUUAUACAUAUUUAUGUUUAUAAUCUUUUAUAUUUGUAUCAUUUCGUUAAUUUUGUUCAUUUAUUUACAUGUUUAUUAUUGUUUGUUUUCUUACUUUAGUUUCUAAUUAUUUGUUAUUUUGCCCGUAUGAUUGUUUUUAUUAUUUAUUGUUUUGCUUGUAUCAUUUUAUUUACAUUGUCAUCGUUAUUAUUAUUUUGCAUCCAUUUUUUACUCGGAUUUAUCAAAAACGGAAAAUUUCAAAAUAAAAGCAACACUCGGUAUUUGGGAUCUUCGAGAGAAUCGAGCCCUAACGUAUUGGGUUCUGAUUUUCUUUGUUAAAUCUAAAUAAUCGAGAUUACUCUUUUUAUAAAAAAACAUAAAUAAAAACUCAUUAUCGAGAAUUCAAUACGUUGUGUCCUAAUGCAUUGGAUAUGACGUAUUGUAUUCUCGAGACGAGGAUUUUCUAACAAAUGCAAUAUUCGAUAUUUAGGGAUAUUGUGAAAUCGAGCCCUAACUUACUGGGUCUUGAUUUUCUCAUUUAAUUCAAAUAAUCGGAUAACCUUCUCAAAACGCAUGGGUUUUAAAAGUCAAGAGAUAAAUUUAAUUUUGAAAAUUUAAAAUGUUGCACUCUAACUUACUGAGUGUGACAAUUUAUUUCUUUGAAAUAAGUGAAUCUCAUCGUCUAAUUCAUUUUAUCCAAAAGAAAAGGAUCGUAUUUUAAAAUCUUUUCAAAAUUUCGACAUUAAGACAUUAAACAAUUAAUUCGGUACCAAUUUUGGGCGUCACGAGGGCGCUAACCCUUCCUCGUGCGUAACCAACUCCCGGACCUAUUUUUUUCAAAUCUCGCAGACCUAAAAUUUUUAAUGGUGAACCGGUACACCUUAAUAAAAGAUCGGUGGCGACUCCCAUUUCCAUUUUUAAAGUCGAUCCCUAUUUUUCGAAAAACUUCAAAAAGAUGGUUUCGACAGGUAAAAAUAUAAAUUAAAAUACCAAAUUGCUUAGAAAAUAAGCUCCUUAAAUACGAAAUUGACCCGAAUUAACUACUACAUUUGACGGUAAAUCACCUUAGGUAUAAGAUAUGUGCCUCUUCUUGACCGAAUACACUUCAUCACUUUGAUCAUCGCGUCACAGUUGACGCAUCCCCCCUGAAUUUGUGUUCGGUGUUGCUUUUGAUAUUGAGCAUAUAUGGUGUCACCAAUGAAACUCUUAGAUGGUUUGAGAAAUUGUUUCAGUUGGCUUGAUAUCCACCCCAGCUUCACGGCACAAGUCCGUGACUAGGUGCAGAAAUAUAUACCAACCUUUGAUUCCUUAACGCAUUUCCACAUGCAGUCAUGGAUCCAAUUUUCAAAAUAUAUGCGCUUCUCCUACAAAAAGUCAUACAACAAAAUAGCUCAGAAGACAUUAACAUUAGAAUCAUUCAAAGGAGGACAAAUACGAGUAAAGAUUAAUUGUAUCCACAUUUGGCAUUCAAAAACAUAAUUGUCUGAUUAAAACUAAGUGGUAUUGUAGCAUUAGGCCUAUUUUUCGUUAAAAAAUUAAUUACGACAUCCAUAUCAAUUUUCGGAAUAAUGGUCGCGUCCACUUUAUUCAAAUAAUCGCGUUUGGAAUAUGGAAUGUCAUAAUAUUUACAUAUAGCACAAGGGAAAAUGUCAACUUUUUUCCCUCGAACAAAACUCUAUCACCCUCAGUGUAUUUUAGAUUAGCAUAAAAUUCUAUUACGACUGGGGCAACGGCGGUCUAUUUCAAGAGAAGGAAAAAUGUGUAUCAACCAUGGUGCUUGGCUAAGUCCAACAACUCAUUACAAAAAGGACGUGGCUAGAUCAAAGCCACGCUCUUGAAUAAAAGUUUGGCUCUGAAGUUCUAAAAAAGUAGUCAUCAGCCUCCUUACACUUAUUUUUUUCACAUUAUGAUCAGGAGACGAGCAUGCAAACAUGAUAAGUGAUAUUCAACAAUAACCCACAAUAAUCAUUCAACUUAAAAUUUUGCAAGAAUAUAUGAAAACGCCCUAAAAGUUGAAGUUUAGAAUCCUUAACCUUAGUUUUGGAGAAGUAGAAGAUGAAUGUUGACCACCACUUGCUUAGGUCAUGCUCUAAUGUUGAAGACUGGGGCUAAAACAUUUAAGAGAUUAAAGAAAGAAAGUGCAGAAAACUUUGAAGAAGUACCGAAAAUUUUAAAGAAAAUCAAUAGUUCUAGCCCAAUAUUGAAAGAAAAGAGAAGGGGAAAUUGCUUUUUGGUUUGAAAAUUGAAAGAUUGAAGAAAUAGGGGUUAAAGGGGCUUUAAAAAAAAUUAAAAUAGAGGGUUUUCGGGCCGGGUCACGACAGAAAAAUGAGUUUUUCGCGAAACCCAACAGUCAUGUCGCGACUCUAAUUCGUGGUAUGGUGACACUAGGAGUUAACUAUCUCUCGUGUCGCAAUGGUAGAGAACCUCAAUUUCAAAAUAGGUUUAUUCUUUGGAUUGCAUUCAUCCCUCGAAAUAGGGUUCAAUUUAAUUAGCUUUAAGUCCAACGGUUAGCCAUUGUGGCUAAAAAUUUUGGUGGUUUUAAAGGAAGUAAUAUUCUAUAGACAGAGAGGUAUGGUAGAUGCGGGUUGAUGUUGUAUGAGAAUUUUGUUGGGUGGUCCUUAUCAUUUCCCUCAUUACCAUGAUUUGAGCCACUGCCACUAAAUGGGGGCAUUUUACGGAUUCAAUAGAGCCAUAGUUGUGGCCACAUCUUGUACAUUUUAACUUUGCAGUUUUAUCCUAACCCAAGGCUUGAGCCCCUCAAGAAAGUAGAACAUUUUAUCCUUUCCUAACAUGUUCCUAAAGUCUAUCAUUAGGGUGGAGAAACUGCUCACAAACACUCGAAUUGUUCUUGUCUUAGCUAUUUCCCUAAGCUUCCGUCUCAUUGUGUAAAGAAUUAACUCUUUAACUCUUACUUUAGAUUGCUUCAAGUUUUGAUAGGGCGUUCAUCAUUUACAAAUUUUGAACACCACCACAACUUUGCAGCACCCGCAAGAUACAUUACGGCCAUGACCACCUUGCCGUCGUCUUAGUUAGUGUACACAACCUUGAAAUAUCGCUCCAUACUGAACAAGAAAAUUUUGAGUUCUUUGUCAUCCCUUGCUCCUUUAUAGUGUCACAGUUCUGGCACCUUGGCGCGCUUACCUUUGUCUAUUGUGCAAUAACUCAUUCGUCUCACAGCCAUUUGAAGCACAUUCACUUGAGCCUCGAGCUCCUCAAGUCCCUAUUUAGUGACGCUUGUAACAUCCUUUGCCUCAUCACAUAGGUUGCUUAUCACUUCCUCAGUCCUAUGUUUAAUAAUGCCAAUGCCAUCCCUUUUCUCAUCACCCAAGCUAUUCACAUCAUUAGAUAGCUAUUUUUAGGCUAUCUUAAUUUCCCUCAUCUAGUCACUCAUGACCAUAUGUGCUUUUAAAGCAACCACUGUAGCCUCAACCUCUUCAAUUCUAGUGUGGUCCUCUGACUCACCACCUUAAGUAGCAACCAUCAUUGAAUAUGCUCAACUAAGGACAACGCAACUUGACUCUAAUACCACAUGUCAUGAACUGAACGUUGUUCUCUCAUUUGUUAACCCAUGCGACACUUUGAUAAAAGCUUCCACUCAAAUCAACCAAAAAUCUCAAUAGUCUAUUUAAAGAUAAGCAAGCCACAAAUUAAUCUCUAGCCACAUUGCAAUCCCAUAAGGCAUAGAAAAUACACCUGAUCUACCUCUCCUUCCUUUAGAAGGAAAAAGACUUUAUUAUUUUGAAAAGAAUUUACAAAGAAAAAGGGUUACAAAAGUGAUCCAAUUACACUUACCGACGUUCGACUUGGGGUCGUUGGCGCAACCCUAUAAAGAAUACCUUAUCUAAUGAAAUAGUCUAACAAUUGUUGAUUAUCCACCCCUAUAAAAUGUAAAAGUGAUUUAAUAGGAAUACUACCAUGUAACAUUUUUUUAAAAGAAUAUUGAAAAACAUUGUUUUUAAUCGAAUACUAAGAGAUUUUUUUGAGCCAAAAUGCCAAAAGGCAUUAAAACGUUUAAAUUUGGGACUUUCCUUCUUUUCUAAAUACACUAUCCCCUUAAACUCUUUACCUUGCCAUGAUCUUAUAAGGGUGAGUUUGGAUGGACGGUGUGUUUACUUGCGGUUAGUGUAAAAACAGCGGUGGCGGUGAGAUUAGACAUUGUAGCAAUACUGUAGCGUGAGACAAAAAGUAAGCUAAACGCACCGCACCGCACCCAAUCGCCCAUCCAAACCCACCCUAAGAAGGUGACCUCUAGUAUCGUACUCUAUCACAACCCUACAAAACUAAGUCGCGACACAGAAAAGUGUUGCAAACACCUAAAUAGUGCAUUGCUACAAUAGUAGUGUUUGCUUUUUCAUUUUUUUUUCUUUUCCGAUUUUUCUAAAUUUCUUUUAUUAAGUAAACAGUAAUUACAUCAAAUAAUAAAUGUUUGAUUGAUUUUUUAAUAAUAAAACAAUAUAUAUAUAAGAUUUUAAUAAUUAAAAUACUCAAAAACACAAAAACUUCAAUAAUUAAAAUGGGCCUGAAAAUCAAGUACAUGGCCCAAAGGUUCAAUUAUAUUAAACAAGAUUCUCCAAUUAGAAAAUUGUCAAAAAAAAACCUCCAAAUAAGUUCAAAUACAAAUUAAUAUUUAAUGUCUAAAUCAAUAAUUAUACUAAUGAAAAGAUUUGAUUAAUAUAAUAUUAAUACUUUUAGAAUUCAAUUACAAAAAUUAAUUUAAAAUCUGAGAGAUUAAUACUUAUGUACAAACAAAAAUUUAAUUAAAUUAUAACUAAACCUAAUAAUUCAUAUGUUUGUAUCAAUGUAAUGGUUUCAUACCAUAUUCUUAUUCAAAGUUAUAUAUUUAUAAAUUUUAACAUAUUAAUAAUUCAUAUCAUUUAAUAUAUCAGUAUCAUAUUUAAAUUAAUAUUUUCAAUAUCAUAUGAAAAAAAAGUCAUAUCUAAAGAUAAGAAACGUGACAAAAACAACCAAACAAAACAAGCUUCCCAAGAAGAAGAUUGUCCUAUUUUAUGGAAUAUGCAUUGUUGUCUUUUCUUUUCUUUCUUUUUUUUUUAAAGCUUCAAUGGAAUAUACAUUCCAAACAAUGUUAGAAUCAAUAAGAUUUUUUUUAUUUAGAAAAUAAAUAAGUAGAGGUGUAUAUGGGCUGGGCCAGGUAGAAGUUCGAUUCUAAAAAUAUUUUAGUGUUAUAAAAUUAAUGGGUUAAUAACACACAUUACGUUUAAAAGAAACUGUCCAAAUAAAGACUCACCACUUACUUCCCAAAAUUUCGAGUACGAAUAGGUUCUACAAAUGAACAUCUUUUGAGCACCAAAUUUUCAUUUAUUAUAUUAUAAUUGUGAUACAGAUAAUUAUAAUGGUUGCAAUUGCAUUUAUUAUAUUAUAAUCGUGAUAAAUUGGAUGCCAUUAUUACAUUGAUAUCUAGUAUUUAGAUAUACGAUAGGUUUUGAGUGUGCUUAGAAAAUGUCUUUGGAAAUAAAAAUCUCAUCAUUUUGAUGCUUCAAUUCCCUCUCUAACCUUGAACUUCUUAAUUCAAACCUUUGGUUUAACCAGUCGACAAUGUCUGAAAACACAAUUUCGGUGUUCUCUGGUGUUUCACCAUAUAACAGGCCAUGCCACAUUCCAGGAUAUAGCUUCAAUGUCUUGUCUGAAAUCGAUGCCACAUCGUAUAGUUGUUGGCUUACAGCUUUAUCUGUUACUUUAUCAUCUUCUCCUUGAAGAAUUAUAAAUGGUAAUGAAACCUGGAAUUAAGAAACUGUCAUAUAUUUUGUUCAAUAAAAUUGAAUUAAAAGUUAAAUCUAUAUAAAAAAAAUUUAUUAAUACCUCAUUAAGCCUUUGUUCAACCUCAAUGCUCAUCUUUAGAAGUUCCAGGCCUGUAUUUAAACGAGGACGACCUUUGUAGCAAUAUGGAUUUCCUCUAAUCUGGAAUUAAUUAACUUUAGCAAACAAUAUAAAAUAUUAAAACCAUUGUCAGUAUAGACCUAUACUGACGAAAAUGUACCUAUACAAGCUGUCACUAAUGCUAUCACAAAGUGUUGUGUGAUAGUUAAUUUCACAUCAUCUAUAUCAUAUAUAUAUAUAUAUAUAUAUAUAUAUAUAUAUAUUAGUAUAAUUAAGAUUGUUUUUAUUGUUCAUUUUACGGUUCAUAAAGAUAAAUCCUUUUGGGUUCAUAGCUGCUCUUGCCAUCAACACUAUCUUUAGGAGUUGAAUUUGAGUUCUCGAACACUUAUUCGUGAAAUCUAGAAUCUUAUUUUUUUAAAAUAUAAUUAAACGUAUAAUUAUACUAACCCCAUCUAGCUUUAGUGACGAUAUCCUCCAUCAGUAUACCAGACAUGAUUAUUGCUAUACAUAUGCGGAUACCAAACUCAAAGCGUCGGUAAAACUGAGUUGUGUCUAUAUAUAUUGGCUCGGAAAGCGUUAGUAAAUACCUGUGCCCUUAUCUCAGGCAUUUUGUAACCAGUAUCAAUGACAUCUGGACCUGGAAUCAUUCUCCAAGUUGGAAUAAAAUUGCAAAGCUUUUUCAAAACACUUGUCACUAAAGGAUGUGGCUUCAUUUUAUCUGCAAUCUGUGAAUACAAAAAUUUUGUUAAUUAAUAUUUAUAUUUUUACGAUAAUAAAAAUAUGAUUUCACUAUUUUAAUAGUCUAUAUUUUUAUAUUUUUUUAAGGAUUAAAUCAAAUUUUUAUCAUUUUUGGGAGGGAUCAAAGUGCAAUCUUAUCAUUACUAAUUUAAAAUUUUAUAAAUUAUAAAGGACCUAAAUGAAAAGAAUUUCAUUUUAGAGGAGGCCAGGGCCCGGUCAGCCGCUGGUUCCACCACUGAAUGUCUCAAUUUUAUUAUUUGUUUACGAUAAAUUUUUUAAAAUUAUCGCAUCAAAAAAAUCUAUAUCUUGAAUUUAAAAUACAAAUUGAAUCACUCUAAUAAAUUAUGCAAAAUUACACCUACUGCCAAAUUUAAUCUAGACAAGUACAAUUAAUCCCAUUCAUUAAUAUAUGAUACCCACAAAAAAUUUAUGAGUUAUUUAAAUAAUGUGAAUUAGAUUAACAAUAAAAACACAAAAAAUAAUAUAAAUGCAAUAAAAAAUAAAUUAUGGGCUAAAAUUUACAUAUGAUAGAACAAAUUCUAAAUUUUAAUAUAUUUAUAUUUAUAUUAUUUACAUUUUAAAAAUAUGAGAUAUGAUACACACAUAAUUGUAGAUCGAUGUAUCGAAAAAUGAAAUUCGGCUGCCCAAAAAUUUUGGACCACAGUCUAAUCAAGACCCUACAGCGGGCACCAUUUAUUAUAUGACAAAAUUAAGUUUUUUUUAAGGAAAUAAUUAAUUAGAAAAACGUGGGAACACGUUAAAAAGGAUGUUUUAAUAGGACCAAAAUGAAAAAAAGGUCAUGAUUUGGUAAAGGAUUCAAAAAUAAAAAAAUAAAUAAAGAGUAAAAUUACCUUACACAUGGGGGCAACAAGGACUGCCCCAUCCCAAUAGUCUGGCAUUUUCCUGUGUAUCAUCAACAACACUGCUCCUCCCAGUGAUUCCCCUAGCAAAAUUCUCAUCCUCCUUUUGUUCUCUUUUUUCUCUAAACCCAGUGUUUAAUCAUGCAAAUUACAAUUAAAAAUGAAAACAUUAAUCCAAAAAUGCAAAACUCUUGUUUAGAAAGUAAUAAUUAAGUUGAAUAAUUAUCACCACAUUAGAGGUACUCAUGGGCCAGGCGGCCCGCCCGAAAUAUGGGAGGGUUUGGGUAAAAAUAUAGACCCGAAAUAUGGGCUUAGGCAAAAAAAUGAGGCCCGAUUAAAAAACGGGUCAAGCCUCGGGCACCACUUUUUUGGCCCGGGCCCGGCCCGGCCUAGCCCGAAUAUAAUAAAUAUUUUUAUUUUAAAAUUUUUUUAAUUUUAAAAUACUUUUAAAAUUCUUUUUUAAAUUUUUUAAUUUUAAAAUAUUUUUAAAAUACUUUUAAAUUUUUUAAUUUUAAAAUAUUUUUAAAAUUUUUGUUUUAAUUUUUAAAAUAAAUUUUUGGUAUUUAUUUAAAAACGGGCCGGACCGGGCCCGGGCUUAUGAAUUUUUUCCCGGGCCGGGCCUAGACAAAAUUCUAGGCCCAUAUUCCGGGCCGGGCCCGGGCCUAGGACCCGGGCUGAAAUUUUUUCUGGGCCCGGCCUGGCCCAUGAGCACCUCUACACCACAUAUAAGCUUAACAUUGAAAGGUUAAUGGUUUAAAGAUUUCAACCCUAAAUCAUGCAAUUACACUUAAAAAUAAUCUGUAAGGUACAAAUCUUGUUAAAUUGUGUGACUCGAAUCCCGUCAUUUUCCCGCCCCCAUAGAUUUUUAUUAAGUACAAAACUGGACUGGGAUUGCAAUCGAGGGUGCAGGGUGAAGCCCCUAUGGUACGGAUCAUACCACAUAAGUUGAGUCCGUAUAGAACUAUACUUCACUAUUUGACUUUAAUUAGAACAGGGUUGAAAAAUUUUCACUUAAAAUUUGUGUGUUCUUAUUUCUCUUUUCUUAUUUAUUUGUGAUCCACGUUUAUUAUAACAAAAAGAAUUGAGAAGGUGAAAGAUUUACCACAUAUUCGAGUGAAAAAAUUGGAGCAAUCAUCAACAACAUUGUUAAAACUUGAGAUAUAGCCUUGCAAACCAGAUGACUUCCCAUGCCCUUCAUAAUCUAUUCCAUAAACUGCAAAUCCUGCUUUCACCAACCGAUUUGCUGCAGCUGAAUUCAACAACAACAAUCAUAUUCAUCACAAAUUUCCAUUCUGCAUUUUUCUUCAAAUACUCGUAUUAUAUACUUACAGCUCAUGGUGAUGCUGGACUCCAGGGCAUAACCAUGGCAGAUGAAGAUUAAACCUUUGGGUUCUUCAUUCACUGGAAUCCAUUUGCAUGUAAAUAGCUUUAAACCUCGAGAAUUCAAGAUAUAUUCCUGAAAAAAUUAUUGUUUAACAAAUCAGAAACUGAUAAUAUUAUAACAAGUUUUCAAACUGAGAAUCCAAUAGACCAACCUCAUCAUAUUGAACACUUCCAUUGUCAAGCUCCUAAAAACAUAAAUACUUAAUUAGAUAAUAGAGAAUAUUAACAAUAAAACUGAUGUUUAAACCUAAAAUAUAAUCAGAACAAACCAUGUUUUCUUUUUUCCCUUGUGUUUAUAUGGCUUCUGACUCUCUUCGUUCCCAGAAAGAUGUGAUGAAGGAUAUGCAAGAAGGUUAAAGAGUUGCUAUUAUAUAUAGAUAGAUAGAUGGAGAUGGGGUUUGGCAAUCGUGGAGAGUUGCCUGAAUAAAUUAAAUUAAUUAAAUAUUAUAAUUCAUAUGUAUUUGUGUUUCUUUAUGUUAUGAAUAAAUUAUCAUUUUAUACCUUGACAUUUUUUAAUGUGGUACUCGUGUUGUUUUUUGGUUCAACGUGACAUUUGUAUUUGACAGAAAUUAUAUAUUUUGGUAUCCAAAGGUGAUUGUGUUAACUUUUAAGUGUUUAAUUCAAGUUUUAGGGUUGAUUUGAUGAAAGUUAACUGCUCAAUAUUAUUAUGUUUUGAUUUUUUUCAUGGUUUUUUUAAUAGAAUAAAUUUAGUGUUACUUGUGAAUUUGUUUAAUUUGUGAAAUAUAGUCCAAUGGAUGCGAUUUAAUUCGGGUUUUAAAGUUGAUUUGAUGAAAAUUGUCAAUCAACUUUCAUAAAAAAAACGAGUCCAUGUAUGUCAGAAUGUUGAAAACUAGUCCAUGUAUGUUAGAAUGAAAUAUACGUGGCACACCACAAGUAACUGUCUAGUUAUUCUGACAACCAUGUCAUUUUUAAUAGAAAAAUUGAUAAUAUUUUUAAUAAAAAUGAUCAGAACUAAUUUGUCAUUUUUUUAAUAAAGAGGAAAAUAUAAUCUAAUUUCUAUUACAGAGGUCUUCACGAUAGUUUUAUCAAGUUCUAGUGUUAUUAGAGGAAGCAGCCGAGCAAGUAGGGUCUGUUUAGAUAUGAAUUUUACAAAGAAGUUUUAGAACAAUCAGAAAAAUAAAACAAAAACUGGGUCACAAUUCUCAAGAUUUAAUUAAAUAAAAAUAUUAUUAAUAUAAAUAUAAUCCAUUUUAAUUUGUGUACUUUAAUGUUCCAAAUUGAUUAGAAAAACUGGGACUGGGCGGCAGAUAUUUGAGAAUUCGACCAACCACUGCUUCUUAGUGUCUCAAAUGGAUGCUUUAUAUUUCCUUUUGAAGUUUCUGCUCAGCCUUUCCAAUGACCUUUUCAUCACUAUAUCCAUUUUUAAGAUUUAAUUAUGGAAUCUAUCAUAAUCAAUUUUUUAUAUUAUAUAUACAAUUUAAAGAUCUUACCAGAGGAGAUGCUUUGUUUGAACCAAGUUUCUUAUAAUCGUAUAUAUAUAAUAAAUUAUUCAAUUUUUUUUAAAAAAAAUAACUUUAACCCUUUAUCUAAUUUUUUAACUUUUACAUUUGUAUUGUUUGUCAAAUUACUCCAAAAUGGAUGAAAAAAUUAAUAAACAUUAAUUUUUCUAUCUAUUUUGAGAUGACACGAUAAACAAUGCAAAUUCAAUGACUAAAACAGACAAAAGAAAAUAAAUAAAUUAUUAAAAUGACUCUUUUUUUAUAAAAUUAGAGAACUAAAUAAGUCAUUAUACCUUUUUUAUAUCCUAAUUACCUGAUUCUUUAUUAUAUCACCUAAUAACUCUCGUUGAUGGGUACAUUUUUGUUGAGAAAAAGACUUUUAAUGUAUUUAGGGUUCAAUCAAUUGAUCAGCAAACAGCACUUUAAAAUUUUCUAUCAAAAAAGGGCUAUAUAAGUAGAUAAUUCCUAAAUUUAGUAUGAUAUUAAAUAUAAACUUUAAAAAACUAUUAAUUAACCUAAUUAAAUUAAAAUUGGCCAUACAAUUAUAUAAACUUGUGUAGGGUUUGGUCUAUUUAACUCAAAAAAACCCGACUUGUUUUUGGCUUGGGCUUGAAGACAACUUCAUUAUUAUUAUCUUUUAAAUAGCAUUUCAAAAAUACUUUUUUACUUUAUAAAUUAAGAACCUACACAGAUUGAGACAUAAAUUUAUGAUCUCAUUGGUUGAAAAAUGGUUAUAAAAGAUAAUUAUAUUCUUUUCAUUUUUUUUAAUAAUUUUCUUAAAAUAUAUAGAUAAAUAAAAUGGGGAAUAUAAUACUCCCAUCUCAAUCUUAAUAUUUACUUCUACUAACUUGUUUGUAUGGACAAAGAAAGACAUAAAAACCUAGAAACAUAGUUCCAACAAAGCAACACCAAAUAAACACAACCACAAAUUACAUCACACUUUCAGUUCUCUGUCCAUUCGGUUGGCAAAUAUAUGUAAUUUUGUUUAGUAUUUUAUAAUCAUGAAACCUCAAUUUCUUUGGCUAUAAGUAGAGAGAUCCUUAUAUGGGUUUGCAAGCUGAUUUGCCAAGAGCCUAACAAUGCCGUCGUCACACUUUUGGCUUUUCUUCGAGAUAGUGCCGAUUUAAUGGGUACCCAUUCUAUCCAUAUUUUUAAUUUUUAAAUAUAUUAUCGGUUCGUAUUUGAUAUAUUGGUAAUAUAUUUUUAUUCCACAAAUAGUUUUAAAAAAUUGUCAUGUAUCUCCUCUUUUAAAAUAAUUAGUUUUUAAUAUUUUAUUAUACUCUUAUAUAACACUUAUUAACCCCUUGACCCUACUUGUGGAGUCUAAAUAUAUUAUGUGACUAUUUUUAUUCUUUUCGUUUCCUUUUACUCAUAAUAUAUGUGUCACGAAAGGUAAUAGUUUCAGUGACGCUAUAACACCCCCCCACCCGACCCGAUCGCUAAGACUGAGCUACAGGAUGCUACAGUUGUUGCCGGAACAACUACAAAUAUUUAACAUUCGAUUUACAUCAUAAUACAAGUAUACAUAAACAUUCCAAAUCAUUAUCAUAAUAUAUAACCUUUCCCGGGUCUUAUACAAGCCUAUGCAUGCUCUAAAGAAAGCCCGAGAUCGAACAAGGAUCAAAUUGCAACAUUUUAAAAAUUGUAGGUCAUCCUCACGACGUAAGGGAGUUCCUCGUUGCAACGUGACAUACUGACUUGGCUCAUUGUGACGACAAGGUUCCUUAUCACACCGUGGUAUGAAAUCCAGAGCUCUUCGCAACAACCAUCGCCUGAUGUCGCGACAUGGACUAUGUUUUUGGCACAAAUUAGGCCAUUUGGUACCUAUUUCAGGACAACACUCACCACAAGGUUUGGUGCAUAAUUGCACAACCUAACUUGCACAAUAUGUCAUACCCCAAAUUUGACAGAUCUAAAAAGAAGGCGUGUAGAUAUUACAUGUUUUGGCGAGUUUUGGUAGUGUAAUCCGGUAAUCUACAAACUUUUGGCGAACUAAAGUUGAUGCAUAAAGUAUCCGUCCAUAGAAGUAUCUAAGGAUUUCAUCUUAUUGUAUUCUUUGACUGAGGAAAGAGUACGACAAAUGAAGGUUAUGCCUUAAAGUGUUGGCUGAACAUGAAGCGCCUACUAAGUAUACGAGAAGUUUGUAAGGGACUAAAGUGUCUUUAAGACUACGGCAUACACGAGUCACCGCCAAGGUAUAAUACCCCUAGUUGUUUGAACACUGUGCAAAGUAGGUUUGUAACGAGAUCUAAUUAGAAGCCAAUUGAAUUGACCGGUCAACUGGCAUCAGCACAAGAUUCUCUUUCAUAGUUCUUUCAGUUUUUGUAGGUCAAUUAAGGGAUAAUUUCUUUAUGCAUGUAACACUUAUCAAGAUCCACUGAAGAGAAUUGGGUAUAUAUAUAUGGUAAGAAGAAAACCUUGAGAUGACUUUUCUUCUUUCUGUUCUACAUUCAGGUUCUUCUUCUUAAACCAAAGCAUUCUUUCCUUCUUUGUUAAAUUGGAAGCUAAGGAUCUUGGGAUAAUCUGUGGAUAUUUCAACUUCUUAUUAAGUUUGAUAGCCCUACAUGUUACGAUUUUAAAAGAGUAAGGAUGUAAAGAAACAUAAAACAGUAGAGUAUAAUUAAGAGGUUCUGCAUGUGGGCCUUUUGUAAUUGAGAUAUCAAUAAAUUGUUUGUAGAUGAGUUUUUUUAUAGAAGUUCUUGGUUCUUUUCAACAGUAGUUGUUGCUGGUUCAGGAAGUACGAUCGGAUUUAGAACUUUGAGCUACAGCGAAUGUGAGUUUAAGGUGAGUCUUUAUUUUGACUCAUAUAUUUUAAAUUAUAAUGGAAAUUAGUAUGUUGAUGCCAUUUCAUAUAAUUGAUGGUGUAAGUGUGUAUACGAAGUAUUGUAAAGAUUCUGCAUGUGCAAGAAUGAUAAGUGUGAAGUACUGCCUGAAUAAGAAGUUGAGUGGUAAGUAUGCAUGUAAAAUUUCGAUAUGGGAGAGUAUGAAUCAGUCAGGUAUGUGAACAAAUCUAGGUAAGUGAAUUCCGAGUAAAACAUCCAUUUUUUAUGCUUCUAGUAGAGCAGUUACAUUACUAACCAGACUGGCAGAUCAUGAUAUGAAAACAUGUGUAAGUCCAUAUGGUAGAGACCAAUGGCAUUAUAUGACAACGAAAAUACUCAUGGUGUAUCCUUCGGUGAGAUAUAAACUAGACUGGCAGAACACAACAUGAGGAUGUAUAAAACCAUGUGGAGGAGACCCAUAGCAUUAUAUAACAAUAAAAAUACUCAUGGUAAUGCUUCCAGUGAGACGUAGACUGGACUGGCAGAUCACAACAUGAAAUAUGUAUAAGACAAUGUGGAAGAAACCCCAUGGCACCCUCUGAUAUAGUCCAAUGAGACAGUAAACGCGUAAUCUUCUGUAAGGCCUGUAUGGCAUAUUCGAUAAUAUCUAAGUGACUUAUUUUGUAACAUCCUUGAAGUGAAGCCUGGUCAAACACUUCUGUGUCGCGAUCUGGGUAAGCUUUGAGGCUUCUCCACUAGCUGAUGAUAUGAUAAAGAGUUGGUAAUUGUAUAAGUAUCUCUGUUUUGGUUAGAAUUCUGGAAAAAAUUGAUUAUGACUUGAAGGCAUUUCCUGAAAGAGUUCUCUGAAAGGCGGAUUCGUCACAAUAGUCUGUCAGCAUAGGUAAUUUGGCGUAUUCAAAGUCAUGAGUAGUCUAAUAGAUGUCAGAUUUGAAUUUGCUUAUGAUAUGUAAGGAAGUAAUCUGAAUUAUCUAGUAUUUGUCAAAUUUGAGUAAUUUACGUGUCAAGUAUAGAGGUUAUCUAAAGUCUAUGUUGUUCGCCAAGUCGGGCUUCUCCUACUCUAUAUCAUGGUUGUUUGGAAUUCCCUGGUAUGAUUUAAAAUGUGUCAUCCAUCAGAAUAAGAUGUGAUCUGACUGGUAAUCUGAUAAUUGUCGAUUCAUUGUGAGAAUCUGAUGAAGGCAGAAUUCGUAUGAAGUUCAUCUUAAAGAUCCGCUAGUAUGAGUAUCCACCAAGAGUAAUAUCUAUAAGUACACCAUUCUGUAAUAAGUGUUCAAUGACCAUGUGAGUGAAAAUUUGCAAAAGCUAAGUUUGUAUGGGUAUUGCUAUGAGAAAUGCAUUUGUUUGUUGUAAAGGAAAUAAGAUUCGUAUUGAGUAGUGAAUUCUAAAAUCUGCCUAUGAGGUGAUUUGUGAUCAAGUAUGGAAGUUGGCGUAUAGCAUGAACCCAAUAUUAGAAAGGUAUUUGUCAAAGACAGAAAGAAAAUCUAGAAUAAUCAAAAUAAGGAUAUCAACAAUAAUUUCUUCAAGGUAAUAUGGAUUAAAACUCUUCAAGUUCAAUUGAACUUACAAGUGUUUGGCUAUGUUACAGGUUCCACUUUAAAAGUGGGUGCGCCUAGAGGGACCAAGCCAAAAAUGCGUCGUGGUGGCAGAUCAAGUUGCGAUAUUAUGCAUACAGAGGGUAUUAUAGGGAAUACGCAUUCAGUUCACUACACUUUAAGAUUUUGUCCUUAGCAAAGUUUCUAAAUUGUAAUGUCAUAUAUUGAUUUUAAAAGCUUGAUGUACUCUUAGAUAUUUCUUUAAUUCUUUUGUUUUCAAGACACUUAAUAAAAUAAUAAGUAUUAUAGAAAAAGGGUUAUAUGCCGAUUAUUUUUAAAUUCUUGCUAAGUUUUACGUGUUGUAACAUCCGAUAUCCGGACUCGGUGAUUUAGUUUGGGUAUAGGAUGUUACACAACAGCAUACCAAAAUGCAUGUCAAAACAUAGUAUCUAAUCAAUUCCAGACAUCCAUUUCAACAUUUCCACAAUUUGGCACCAAACAUACCAAUUCAACUUAACCAAAUUCAACGUAAUAAACCAUGCCUUUAAGCUAUAGAAUACCAUCAUUUACCAUUCUAAUUCAUUAAGCAAAUUUGUCAUUCAAGUGCAACAUUUAUAGCUUAUUACAUUACCAAACUUACACAUAUACAUAUAUGAUCAUUAGUAUUCCAUAAUUCAAACGUUAGCCAAGUUCAACCAAACUAUCAAUCCAAAGUUAACACAUAUAUUAACAUCUAUGUACAUGCCACAUAAUCUGACUUUAAAAUGUUUGAAAGACUACCAAAUUGAACAUGGGAUGGUGUGAACUUCUUGUAGAUCCGAUCAACAUGUUCCGCAAGUUAGCAAUCUACAAGGAAAAAGGGAGGCAACAGGGUAAGCAUAAUGAAGGCUUAGUAAGUCAAUAUGAAAUUUUACUUAACUUACCUUGAUAAUUCAAUAAUUAAGCAAUUAAAACAUAUUAGAAUAAAACAUGACAAUCCUUUGGCAUCCUUAUACUUUCAUAUGCAUAUCAACAAAAACAUUCAAAGGUUAGUUCAUUUGCAUAACAUGAACUUAUAACAUAAUCAUAUUAAUAUGUAAUAAUUCAUUUUAAACAUGUACUAACCAAAUCAUAAACCAUAUGCAAGCAUAUAUAUUUCCAUUCAUGUAUAAUCAUUCAGCCAUUCAUUUUUCUGUUAAAUUACCAUUUUCUAGCCCGAAAGAACUUCAGUAAAUUGAACUUAGAUACUCGAGACUAUUUCGCUCACACAAGCUUUUAUUUAUGAAAUGGCUCACACAAGCCUUCGUAUUUAGGUUGCUCACACAAGCUUCAGAUUAGGAUUGCUCAUACAAGCUUAGUUUGAUGAUUGCUCACACAAGCUUCGGAAUAUCCACAACACAUGUUGGAUCUCAAAUCAUCAUAAAAAAUCCCUGAUCAACCCAUUCCUUUUUGGACCCUAAUGACAUGUCAUUUGUAUCCUAAUCGUUUACUAAGUUUAUACGGGCACCGUUACUGUUAUCAUAUCAUUUCAAGCCCCAUAGCAGUAUACAUAUUUUACACAUUUCACAUAACAUUUUGUAUCCACUUCAAUACUUUGUAUCAUUUACUAAUAACCAUAAUUUCUCAUUCUUUGCAAUUUAGUCCUAUUGAUACCAAAAUCAAUCAAUUCACAUUUAAGCAUAGCAAAAAGCAAAUCAAAUUCAAUUAAUUCAUAACAUGAAUAAAAUGGUAAUUUCCAUAUGAACUUACCUAGCAAAACAACAAACAAUUGAAUCUUUAAAAACUAAUCUGCAAUUUUUCCUUUUUCCCCGUUAUCUUCAGUUUGAUUCAAUUCUUGAUCUAUAUAAUAGUUCAAUUCAAUUAUCAAUUUCAUCCCUUUUGUAACAUCCUAUAAUAUGCAUAUAUCAAUUCAAUUUCAUUAUCCGAAUGCCCCCUAAAAUUUUGUAUUUUAUUCAAUUUAUAACUCUUAUAUGCACAACUAAAUGAGUGCUUGUUGUUGGCAUUCAUGCUCGUGUUGUUGCUAUUGGAAUAGCUGUUGAUGUAAGAACUAUUCUUACUUCCAAAGAUGUUCUUGAAGUAUUGAGAACUGUUACAUAUUAGAGUUUUAGUUCGAGACUUGAUGUCCCAAAGUUGAAAGGUACCUUGGGUAGGGAUCGUAAAAUCCUAGGAAAUGAUUGUACUGAGGAUAAUACUGUUCUGACUAAAUGCACUUAUAUAAAUCAUGGUACUAUGGCCAAAGUUUCUAUUUCCCUGGGGAACUUGGUUAUUUUGAUUAGCUUGGUUUUGGAAGUAUAAGAAGUUUUGGUUAUUAGGGAAGUUUAGAUCAUUGGGGAAGUUGUUAUUGGGAUAAUUCAUUUUUUUGAUUGAUUUUGAUGGUCGAGAGUGAGUCCACACUCACCACAUCAAUUGUUAAUAUAAUAAGGAGGUUGUGGUCAUUUGGUACGAUUCACCCACGCUGCCAAUUUUCAAGUUUGGAAAACCAAUUGAAUUGCAACAAAUUUUUGGAUGGGAUCCAGGCAUAUCUGGGCUAUGAUGUUUGCAUAGCUUUCGAAAAGCUAUCUAUUAGCUUCAAAACGCACUUUGAAUCAUUUGAUUUCGAGUCCAAUAGCUCAAGUUAUGACCAUUUUACUGAUGAUUGCACAAGCAGAAUUUUUCGACGCAAUUAUUACGGAAAAUUACGAGUUUCGGGCUUUAAUUCGAGUUUAAAUCACAUUGAGUUCGAGUUUAAAGCCUAAUUUUGAUCAUAUAUGAGCCCAAUAUUGUAUCUAUUAGGUUUUAUUAUUUUAUUAUUUAUUUAUUCCGAAUUUUAGGAUUUUUUUCAUGUAUUUUAAGUUGCUUAGGAGUUUUAUGUUUCUUAGUCAAGAAGAAAGUUUAGUUUAAAACUACACUUGUUUAGAUUAAUUAUAGAUUCAUCAUACUUAAGAGUUUUAUUUGGAUAUAAUCAACUAGUCUAUAUAAAGGCCUCUCAUUGUUCAUUAGAUACACAAUUCAUUCUUCAUCAUUUAAUAUUUUAUUAAAAAUGUCACUCACGUAAUUUCACACAAUUUUAUUGAUUAAUUAGAAAUUUUCAAUUUAUGUCAAACUUAAUAUGCAUAACUACAUAAAUAGAGCAUGAAAUAUGACGGUUGAAUUAUUAAAAUAUUAAUCGCAUAAAAAGUUACGGAAGAAUGUAAAACUACUUAAAUUUUAUAUAGGUUUUAAGUGGAUCCCUUUUUUUUAAUAUACAUACUAUUAUUUAAGUGUUUUAUUGAGUUGAUAUCACCCUCAACCAAGUCAUCAACUCAAAUAUUAAAUAUUUAUUUAAAAAUCCAAUUUCACGAAAUUUUUUUGGUUAAAAUAGCCAGUAACUUUUUUUAACCUCAGUUAAAAAUUAAACCAAAAAAAAAAACAAUAAUUUACAUAGUAAAAUAAGUUAAAAGGAUUUAAAUACUAAAAUAAGUAAAUAAAUGUACCUCAAAGCUCAAACGGUGAAUAAAACCUGUAUUAAAAGAUUAACUUAUUUCCGAGCGAACAUUGUUUAAUUAUAUUCAAUUCUCUUGUAUGUUAGAAACUUAGGUUUUAUGUCUUUCUUUUUAGUAAAGUUUUAUUCUCUUAUAUAUGAACUCAAUUAUGCCUUUGCUGCUUCUUCGGGAAGCUCUUAUAUGAAUUGUUGAAUGGAAUCCGCUUAAAGGGUUGUUUUCUAUUAGAUCAACUCGAAUCUCGAAUAAUUGGUAUUAUUUUUAGAGUGUUUAUGUUUAAUUUUAGCCCUAGAUUUUUGUCUCCUUACUUUAAGUAGAGCUCAAAUAGAUUCACGGAGUUUCGGUGGGAAUACCUAGACCUACCAAGAAAAUAUUUUUAUCAUUUAGUUUUAGUGGGGAUUCAAAUUCAUGCCCCUAAAAUGUCUUAAAGAAUAGGAAUACUACCAUUUAGCUAGGCAUAUCAGGUAUACUAAGAUAAAGCAUUAUAAUGUAUUAGUUAAUGAUUCAAUUCCCAUAAGUGAACUUUGAUAAUUAAUAUUUUUAAUAAUAAUAAUACUUUUUUCUAUAAACUUGCAGAUCAUAUCCACGUCAACUGAGACUGAGAAUCCGAAACCAAUUCUAUUCAAUAUAAAAUACGCACGAAUUUAAAUGAGAUGAAAUUAAGUGAGUUGAUUGGAUUUCUAAUAUUAGGUCGAAUGAAUGCUUUCAACUCCUAAUCCCAUUAACUUACCAUUUAAUCCCCAGCAAGUAAUCACCAUCACUCACCAAAUCCAUGUGCCCCAAUUUAUUUAUUAACAUUAAAUGUUUAUUUUAUAUUUUAUAAAUAAAAUUUAGGGUCUGUUUGAUUGAUGGAAUUGAUUUUCCGGAAAAUCAUUUCCAACUUUUCCAGCGUUUGAUUGGAGGAAAACAUUUUCCAUUUGGAAAAUGAACUCCAAAACAAGGGAAAAUGGGUUACAUUUUAGGGAAAAUGUCUUACCCUUCCAAUUUCCGUAAGACAUUUUCCGUGCUCUCCUCUCUAUCGCCUCCUUCAUUCCUUCCUUCAUUUCCGGUAGAAAAUUGCUUAUGUUUAUCGAUUUUCCAGUAACUUAUUAAUAUAUAUUAAUAUAUGUAAAAAUAACUUUUCCGAAAAAAUAUUUUCAAAAAAUCUGCCAAGCAGCAGAAAAUAUUUUACACAGAUUCAAUCAAACACCAGAAAAUAUUUUCCAGUAAACGGAAAAUAUUUUACUGGCAAUCAAACAGACCCUUAAUAAUAAAUUCAGCCUCAAAUUUUCAUUAUUAAUGUAACGUUAUUUUUUUAUAUAUCAUAUUAAUAAAUAAUAAAAACGUAAAAAAAUUAUAAUUCCAAACAAAAAAAAGUUAUUCAAAAUUAAAUAAAAUAAGAAAGCCUAAAAAAAUAAGAAAAUCAUGAAAGUUUUUCAAAUUUUCAAAGUUAAAUUAUAAAAAAAUAGGGUUUUCCUCAACAGUCAACCCUUUUUUUUUCAUUCACUGCACAUGUUUUCUCUCUUUCCAGUUUGCAUAUCUAUUUUAUGGAUAUCUUUGAUGUCUUCUCAAGUUAUGAUGGACAAAUAACAGUAUCUGUCGUUCGCUAAAACUCCAUCGGCCAAUAGUAGUUUUUCUUGGAAAGUGGGUGACUCUUCGUCAAUUUCUUAAUUUGUUUUGUUUUGAGAGUAUUUUAGAAUAAUAAAUGAUUUCAUGUGUCGAUUUGGAUCCGUGUUGUUUUAAGUUUUAUAUUUUUUUUUGUUUGUUUUUCCAUUAUUUAAUAAGUAUUCAGUUUUAAAAUUUUUUGUCUGCUAUUGUAACACGUUUUUUAGUAUUGCUUAUACAUGUAAUCUUAGUUUUAUAAGUGGUUUUAGGGAUGAUUUUGUUGCCAUCCUCUUUAGUUUGGUAAAUGCUUGGUUCUUUUGUCGAUUUUUGCUCACCGCUUUGAACCAUCCGGGGCUGAUUUCCUUAUCAUAUUAAGUGCUUACAAUCACUCCAGAUAUGUCGUGCAUGAGUUGUGACAAAGCCAAUUGUCAAUGUGUCAUAAUCUUCUAUUAAUGCUGAGGCUAAAGCAUUUGUCGUGUUGAUGGAGUUUAUCCUUCACCAUCUAUGACGAGUGUUUGCUAUUUUUUCUCUGAAUUGUAUAGUUUCAUUCAUUGAAUGAAUUAUAAUGAAUUUACCUUUCAAAAAAAUAAUAAUAAAAUUAUAGUUGUGAAUAUUUGAAAAAUCAAUUAAUUUAUUAAAAAAAUUGCACACAAUUGAGCCUUCAAUUAUCAAAAUUAAAUUAAUUGAGUUUUUCUGUUGAUGAUUUCCAUUAACAGAUGCUAACGUAACAAGUAAGAACACUUUUAUGAUAACAUAUGGCAUCUCCGUAUAAAAGGUAAAAUAACGUAAAUAAUCCAUAUUAAUAAAUAUAUUAAAAUUUAAAUUUUUAUUUAAUUUAAAAAAAAAAUUGAAAGAGAAUGCUUAUAGAAAAGCAAGUGAAGGCUUCUCGAUGGGACUGCUGACCUCUACUCGCAACAUUUUAUUGGGUAAAUUAUUUUAUUAUUAAUUUUUUUAUUUACUCAGUACUUUCCGAAAUUAAAUAUUUUAAUUAUUUUUCCAUUAGUUGUCGCUAAAUGAGUAUCAAAAAGUUGAUUUAAGUUUUUUUUAUUGAUUUAAUAACAAAUUUAGCCUUUCAAUAUUUAUAUAUUUUAUUAAUUUGAUCAUAAAUAUAGAAUAUUCAAGAAUUUAGCCCUCAAUAUUUACUAAUUUUACCAUUUUAAUUCAAAUUCUAAAAAAAUUAAUAAAUUUAACCCUCAAAAUUUAUCUAUAAAAUUCGACGAUGGUUGAGCAUUUUAUUUUUAUAGUUUUUUAUAAUAAUUAAUUUAGAAAAGAAGUUAUAUGUCCAUAUUGUGGUCACAUGUUAAAAUCCUAACAUAACAGAAGCAAAAACGUGGGGAAUUGUAUCAGAUGAAUGGAUAGAUAACUAAAACAGCUGUACUGUUUUUCUUUCAACAAUCAAACCUCAAGCAAAAUAUUUGAUCAAUUCUUCCAUCGUUCAAGUGUGAAACAAUCAUUGAAAAUCUCCCCUUCUUUUUCUUUCUUUUCAAUUCAAUUUAUUGAAUUAGAAUUUAAUUGAUAAAUUUUGUAAAUUUCGAGCACUAAAUUUAUUAAACACUAAAAUGAUAAAUUUUGUAAACACUAAGAACUAAAUUUCUUGAAUAUUGUAUAUUUAGGAUCAAAUUAAUAGAAUGUGUAAAUAUUGGAAAGCUAAAUUUAUUAUUAGACUGAUACAAAAAGCCACAUCAGCUUCCCGCCACUCAUUCAACGACAACUAACUAGAGAGUAACCAAAAUAUUUGAUUUCGAAAAUUUUAAUAGUUGUUCGGUCAAGAUAGAACAAAAAUUUUGUAGUUUAUCCUAUUUUAUUGCCAUGUUGUCUUUUUUUCUUUGUCUUAAACGAAAUUAUGUAACUUCAAUCCUUCUAUAAUUCUUCAAAUAUAAUUCUUCCAUAGGAGUAUCUGCAUAAUCAUGUUUAGAUUUUGUUCCUACUAUUUAUUUGGUUUAGUUGAUGAUUAUUUAAUUUAGACUAUUUUUUUUAUGUCUAGAUUAUAUAAGCAAAUUUUUAAUUAAAUCAGCCCUAAAACUUAAAUUGAAUACGAAAAAGUUAAAUUCUAUUAUUUUUUAGUACCAAAAUAUAUAGCUUUUCUCAAACACAGGUAUCAAAUUGAACAAAAAAAUGAUACCAGUUCUACAUUAGAAAAAAAUGUCAAACUCAUGUACCAAAUGAUAUAUUAAGCCUAUUGAAAUUCAUUAAAUAAAUUAUAAACAAUAAUCUAUAUCCAUAUUAUUAGUUAAAAUUUUGACUGAGUUAGUGGCAACUAUUAUUUUGACUUUUUGAGGAUAUUUUUAUCUUUUAUAUUUGUAAUAAGCCUAAUUUGCCCGGGCCCAAAAGCUCAAACACAAAUAAACCAAAAAUAAAAUAAAAACCAAUAGCAGUCCUUUUUAAUUGUUUAGUAUUACAAAACCCAAUACAAUAUAAACCUAACCCAUUACCUAAUUGCAUUACCCUACCCCAGGCCCAAAUUACAAACCCAUUGCAGCCCAAAAUCAAAACCCAACACCUAGCCUAACAGACACCAAAAUCGGAAAACCCUAGCAGCUAGGGUAAGCCUCCAGCGCCGCAACAGAGCCAGGCUUCCCCCUCGCGCGUGUUGCGCCCGCGCGCGUGUAGUGCCUCCGAGCCGAGCCACGCCACCACCAGGGACCACGCCGUACGCACGCCCGCACACAUCCGUACCUGCAGAAACGCACAGAAGGAGUAGGAAAAAAUGACAAAGAACGGGCAGAAAUCGAGAGCAAAUAGGAGUAAAUAAGAAAUAUGUAAAAAGGGAUUCGGGGGGGAUUUCUUUUUUUUCUUUUGGCAAUAUAAAGCCAUGUCAAAAAUCUGUAAAGGGGGGGCGCGCAGAUUGUAAAGAAAAAAGGCAGAAAAUCAAAAAAAAAAAAAAAAAAGG
rnacentral:lncRNA from 1 species